rnacentral:lncRNA from 1 species
UGUUUGUGCGUAUUACGUAUGACCUGGUUCCAUUAUUUAUUAUUCUGUUGGAAUAACCUGUCUGUGCGGUCUAUCGCAUGCCUGGUGAAUUCUGUUGUUAUUCCAUUCUUUAUUAUUCUGUUGGAAUAACCUGUCUGUGCGGUCUAUCGCAUGCCUGGUGAAUUCUGUUGUUAUUCCAUUCUUUAUUAUUCUGUUGGAAUAUCAUGCCUGUGCGAAUUUCGUAUGACCUGGUUCCAUUCUUUAUUAUUCUGUUGGAAAUAACUCGUCUGUGCGGUCUAUUGCAUACAUGGUGAAAUUCUUCUGUUAUUCCAUUCUUUAUUAUUCUGUUGGAAUAACAUGUCUAUGUGGAUUACCACAUGCAUGGUGAAUGAUCCUUUGUAUUCAUUCCUUAUUAAAUUAUGAAAAUGAUCUGUCUACGUGGAUUAUCGCAUAGCGGGCGAAAAUCCAUUUGCAGUUUCAUAUAUUCUAUUAUACUCAGUUGGUUAAAGUUUUGGCUUCUAUACUCCAUUAAAUUAGUAGAAUAUCCUGGAUAUUUACGCUUCAUCGAGUAUAUUUUCAUGGAAAUAUUUUUCUGAACAUUCUUGAAUUUUACUCCACAAAGCAGUAUCAUGUUGACAAUUUGGACGUUUUUGAGUUCAUGAUAAAUUAACUUAUAAAUCUUUAAAAUUUAAUUCUUGAACUUGUUUUAUUGAAUUAUUAUGUCAUUGUCAUCAUCCUCAUGUUUAUAUUAUGUUGAAAGUCAUUUGUGGCCUGUAGUGCAUAGAUGGACUUGGUAUGAUUAUGACCAGGGAUUAUUCGGUAUAGUCAUGACCGUAAUGUUACAAAUGAUGUGGUAAAAGUCCUCAUUGGCCCGUAGUGCAUUGAUGGACAGUUGAUGGAAUGAUCAUGACCAUUGAUGAAAACACGAAUAUCCUUGGCCCGUAGUGCAUGGAUAAUUUGUGGUCGUGAUACUAAUGAAUAUCCUUGGCCGUAGUGCAGGGAUGACGUGGUUUAUUUAAUAAGCUGAGUCUCAGCGAUAAAAGUGAUGAAAAACCUUUUAAAUCAUAGAAGAUAGUAGAUUUUAUUCUCUACUUGACUCUUCUAAUGGAUUGCUUGUUCCGCUGCAGUUAAACUUGAUGUUUGUUAUAUUUUAUCAGUUUAACACUGUUGAAGGCUAACGAUAAUUUAUUCUGCAUUAUCUUAGUCAUAAUAUUUCUUACUGGGCUAGUUGAGCUCACCCUUUUGCUUUCAUUGUUCUCUUCAGGAAAUGAGAACGUAGCAGGGACUAGUCGGGGAACGGAGUGACGGUCCAGAUGAUAGCAUUAGUAGUCCUCACUAUUCUGUUAAAUAGUGUGAUAAUAAAUGUAAUGAGGACUCCAUUGAGUGUGGAUAUUGUCUAGAUGACAAUAUUUGUAUUAAAACUCACAUCAUAUGUUUUGUCGUAUUUUACACGACAGUUGUAUCAUUAAGUUUUUAUUUGUAUUUUGUACCAUGUAUUUGGCGACUCAAGAUGGGUGAUGUAUACCUAUUUUGGGGGCGUCACAGCUUUUAUAAACAUGCAUAUAGUCUUAGCCGAAUCAAAUGGCAUCGACUCUUUCACCAUAUUCAAGAACAAUACUAAGUUCAAUAUGAAUAAUAACUUUCAUAAGGGUUUAAGCAUGUUAGCUCAUUUGAACGAGAAAGUAAUAUAACUUGUAUUCAAAUAGAUAAGUUUACGGUAUUCGUUGAAUAAAGAAUGCAAUUAUACUUGCACAAUAAGAGUAGGGUUCAAAUACUUGCUCAAUAUAAAUUUGUAGUUUAUCCACGUUAAUAACUCAACACUUUCGAAUCCUAUUUAUAGCGUAUUAUAUGAUCAAGAUAUUCAUUAGCUAACACGGUCUUUAAACAAGCUUGACAUGAUUCAAGUAUGUACAUAUGGUAUAAAAAUCAGUUUAUAAGUCAUCACAAAUACAACGACGUCAUGAUUGCUAAAUUUCUUGAAGACAUUCUUCAGACUUAACAUUUGGAAGUUAUGUUCAACAUUUUUCUUUAUCACAUAACAUGCUUCUUAACAUAUUAUAUAGCUUAUUGGUCAUAUAAGAUAAGUUAAAGUAAUCCUAUAGGGAUGCUUCAACAUCAGUUUCAAAAACAGAAUGCAUAACUCAAGGUUCCAGACUGGCGCAGUUGCGCCAUGGCUAAGCCUAGGACCGGCGCAGCUGCGCUGUCCUCUGACCCAGCCAAAACUCAGCUGCUACCUUGUGGUCUCUGUCCGGUCUUGAACACACAAUCAUACAUAAUGUAUUUUGAUAUGUUAAGGGUCCUUUCAUGCUUAUCAAGUAAAUCUAGGUUCCCUCUUUAUCAGGGGUGAUCAUUCGGUUAUAACCGAACCGAAUAGGCUAUUCGGUUAUAACCGAAUACCGAAAUAUUCCUAAUUUCAAUAUCCGAACUAAUAACCGAAUUUUGGUAAUAACUGAAUAACCGAAUAACCGAAUACUGAAUUAUCGAAUUACCGAAUUAUAAAUUCGGUAAUUCGGGUAAUAACCGAACACUGCUAUAAAAAAUAACACCCAAAAUUAUGAUUCCACAAAAUGCCCAAAUCGACUCUGAUGUUAUCCAUACCAAAACAAAGGACGGAGAAAAUGGGUGUACCACAUGAAGCUAACCGGGUGUACCGCAUAAGCUUUGAGGUCUUCUUUGGAGUUGUGGCGGCUGUGGAGCAUGUGAGUGAAGGUGAGGGGGGGAGAAAUGGGUGCGGAGGAGCGGACCGGCGGUGGGUGUGGAGGAGCGGACUGGCGGUGGGUGUGGAGGAGCGGACCGGUGGAGACUUUUUCGUGAUCGGUAUGGGGUUUGAUUUUGAAGAUGACUAUGUUCAAUGAUUUAGAGAAUUGGAGAAUGGAGAUCUGAGAAGUCUGGGGCAGUGAAGCACUGAAGCUAGCUGGCUACUUUAUUAAAAGGAGCUUUAUGAUGUAAAGUAGACCAUAAGUAGUCAGUAGAGGUAGAGCAGUUUUAUUUAGUAAAGUAUACAACUAUACAAGUAGUGCAUAAUUAAGGCUUUGUUCGGUUAUAAUGUUGUUUCAACUUUGCAAAGAUUUAUUUGGUUAUUUGGUUAAACCAAAUAACCCAAAAGUAAAACCCGUACAAACUAACCGAAAACCGUAAAUAAUUUCGGAUAUAACCGAAAUGUUAAAAAUAACCGAAUUAUCAGAAAAUUUCGGUUAAAUUAUUUCGGUUCGGUUCGGUAAUUCGGUUAUAUCUAUUUUUUGCUCAGACCUACUCUUUAUGAUACAUUUCUAAUUUAAACAUUUCAACAAGUUAAGGCCAUUCAAGGUCAUGAACUCACAAAGUCUAUCAUGCUUUCUCUCUAAACAUUUAAGAUAGUCACAAAGUUCAUAUUAGGCAUGCUUAUGAGUAUUCAUAACGUAUAUGUGAAACUAACACCACUUUAGUUGAAGAUAGGCUUCGUUCAUGAUUUUCUUGAAAUAUGACACACAUGCACGGUAUAUAUACGUUUAUGCUACAUAAGUGAGUUUAAGAGUGUCAUCAAACAUGAUCGCAAAUGUCAAAUUCUAGUCCUCAUAGUAGCUUGACAAUAUUCACAUUCAAUGCUUACUAGUAGGUUCAACAUGUUCAUGCUUGCUUAUUAACCUAAUAAACACCAUCUAAAGGUUUAUUCAUGCAUUUCUAGGUCAUACUAACAUGCUUCCAAAGUCAGAAUAUAAAUCAUGUAGAAAUCAUACAUGUUAGCUCACUAGGCUAAGCUUUUCUUGAAAAUAUUUUUAACACAAAGCUUAAUAAGUUUGAUCAUGCUCAAAGGAACUACGUACACUAUAACAUGCUCAUUUAAGUGUAAAAUCAGUCAUGUAUAGCUUACUAGGUUCACAAUUUGCAAAACACGAUCUCUAACAUAGUUUAUUUUCAAAACUUAAAGUCCAAAUCUCCAUUUAAACUAUAUGCCUUCAUUAAUCAUGCAAGUAUAUUAAAACAUGCCCAACUUAGAUUCAUAUACUUAUAUAUACACUCUAAUCAUGCUUUCAUGCUAGUUUAAGCCAUAAUGGUUGAUCAACACAUAGCAUAUUUCAAAACAGAAGUUCAAACUGACUGCAGCAACCGGCGUAGCUAUGCUGCGCCUUAGUAUUAAUAUGGCACAGCUGCGCCAUGCCUUGUUCGAACCAGGAACAGUGAACCUCGGCAACUGCUCAUCCCAAACACAUAAUUUACUCACGAAUUCACUCUUAAACACUCAUGUAUCACUUGCAACAUGCUUAUAUGAUCAUAUAACAUCUAUAUAAACCAUACCCAACCUCAUUAACAUCUAUCUUCAUGAAUUCAAGAAUUUGAAUUUUAAGAACUCAAGAACUCUGUUUAACAGAAACGGAAAUGGAAAGCAAGGAAUGGAAUUAUACCUUCGUAAUGUGCAAUGAAUUUGCUCAAACUGAACUCUCAAGCUCUUAGAAUGCUCUCACUCUACUACUUAGCAAUUUAUCAGACAACUCAAGUAACAUAGAGAAUGAAGGGAAGUGUUCAUUUUAUAGAAAAUUCAUUGACCAUGCCAAGCCAUUAUCCAAGAAAUCAAACUAAAGGAUGGAAGAAUUGCAUUAAGGCUAAUAAGAAGUUGGUAAUUAGUUGUUGGUUUGCAUCAUGACCACCACUCCUCCCAUGAUCAUUGGCUAGAAAGCUUGGAAGAAAAAUGAAGAACAUAGGCCUUAGCCUUUUGCUCUUACACGUGACUGAGAAUUUGGAAGUGAACGGGACUCUCAAUUUGGGACAAUCCAAUAUAAUUUAGCAUUCUUGUAUACUCCUACAAAUCCUCACUCUUAUGUUAUAUUUUAAUACACAUCUCAACCAUAUUUUAUAACCUAAUGUCACAAUAUGACUUAACAUCUCAAGGUAGUAGAUGUUAUGCAACAUACAUAUAAUUCAUGUACAUUUUAUCACACUGGUACAUUUUAUUAAAAUGAUAGUCUACAAUAUGCUCAUGUUAUAUUAUUUUAAUACAUACCCACAUACAUUUUGUCACAUAGAUAAUGUAUUUAUAACAUAUAGUUUCAAUAUAUUUACUCACAUUGCCCCAUACAAUAUAGUUUUGUAAGACUUAAUAUAUAGCCACAUAAAUGUCACACUGCACUAUAUAGUAUGGUUGUAUAUGCUCAUAUGCACAUAACUGUCAAUAUAAUAUUAUUAUAUUAAUAACUUACUUAUUUAUGUUAAAUAAAUAAAUUAUGCACUUUCUUACUUAAUUAACACCAAUAUUAAUUAAUCCAACCAUUGAUUAAUGUAUUUAUGGAUUUCCAUAAUCAUUAUUCAUCUUUAUAAUAUAUUGCAAAUAAUAGUAAUCACACAUUAUUAGUUGAUUACUAAAAAUUCAAUAUUCUACCACAACCAUCAUCACCAAUUAAUUAAUAUAACAGUUAACAAUUAAUAUUACUUAAUUACGCACUUUAUUUCAUAGUUUAUUAAUGUCCCACACAUCACAUAAUUGUUUUAUUAAAUUUUCCGAAGUAGAAGAAUUAAUUUUUCUCCCACUGACCACUGGCGCAGCUGCGCCAGUUUGUACUGCUGGGACGGCGCAGCUGCUCCGUGCCAAGAUUGGUUUAGCUUAAGCCAGUGUCAACCCCUAUCGCCAUACUCGUCCUACACGACAUGAAUUAAUGUCCACAAGAGAGUUACUACGAGUCUACGAGUGUAUUGAUUACUUAUAUGAAGUCAUCUUAUCAACAUGAUUAAUCUUCUUAAUCCUCGUUUUAAUCUAUUUAAUGGAUUUCCUCUUUUCACAUUAUGCCACACAAGGCAUUUCACAAUCCUCAUUGUCACUUCACACAUCUUAAUACGCAUUGAUCUAAUACGAAUUAAUUGAAUUAACCAACUCACAAAAUAAUAACACUUUUAUUGACAAAAAUUUUAUUUCCAUUAAUAUAUUCAUUUAAUAAUACAUGGAAAUUCUUGGGUAUUACACCUUAUGUCAAGGAACAAAUACAUAACAUGCUCUCAGUCCAACAAUAACAGAAUCACAAUUUAUGACUCGGUCAAAGCUUGUCAGACGGCCUGUUAUUAUAGUUUCUAGAAAUCCCAGAAACGUGAUCCGUGUUCAUCUGACCUAUUUUGACCACUUAUUACAAUCGAUCUGUUGAUGUUUUAAAGGAUCUUAAGGCAUGGGUCUACAGUCUAGACAACAGGCUACAAAUAUGUUACAACAACAUCAACAAACAACAUCAUGCCUGACAUAUCUGGACGUUACAAAAACUUGUCAGACCUGGUUACAUGAUUUCUGGGUUACCCAAAAAUCAGUCGGUCAAGCUCGGUCAACGGGGUUUGACCGUUAAUAACUUAUGAUCUAGACAUGUAAUCGCUGUGAUUCGACUUCCAGAUCAAAGAACACAUAUCAAACUACAGAUCUAAAACAUAAAAUAUCAAAAGGCAUGAACAGUCAAGAAUCUAGAGCCACUGUCAUUGCUUGUCAGACCACUAUGAAUGUUCUUGAGCAGUUUUUGAAAAACACCAUUUUAAAGCAUUUUGAUGUUAUGGAUCUAUUAUAGAUCAUCAUAAAACAUCCUUUAGCAAGAUUCUAAACACAUAAACACAUAUUCUAACUAAGCAUACAAGAUCAAAAUAGGUUUAGGGUUUUAUACCUUCUAGUUAAAUAUUUGAUCUUUGUUCUCCAAAUCUGAUCUAGGUGUUCUAAGAGGUUAAAGAGUGACUGAAUUACUUGUUAAAUUCGGAGGUUGAGUGAGAGAGAGAGAGAGUGUGAGUUGAGUGUUUGAGUGCAAAUGACCAACUUUGUGGACUUUCUCUCUCUUAAAUCUAUAUAUAUUUAGAUGCAAUGUAUAGAUCUGAUGAAUUGGACUGAUUUUGCUAGAAUUAAUAAGUCACAAAGUCAAAUUAGUUGGUGAACAACUAAAGGUCUUAGAAAAUUCUACAAGUCACCAAUUAAAGAAAUGAAAAAGGACAUUUUGGGCAUUUGCAAUAUAAUUUUAAUGGCAUUCUUGACUUUUGUCCAAACCCUUAGGGUUUAACCCUAAGGUUCUAACCCUUUAGGUUUUUACAACUUUAGUUUCUAGAAUUUUCUAAUUAGGGUUUUAAUUAGAAAUAAGAUUUAAAAUUUAUAAUUAGGGUUUCCUAAUCAUAUUAAAGUUUUAUAAUCACAUUAGGGCUUGCUAAUUAGGAUUAGGGUUUAGGAUUCUCAAAUUUAAAAUUAGGGUUUCCCGGCAUACGAUUAGGGUUUCUAACUGUGCGUUAGGGUUUCUAAUCCCUUAUUAGGGUUUAUAAAUUUGAAACCUUAUCCGAUCAAUCAUUGAUAAAAAAUUCUAAACACAUACUCAUCAAUACAAUAAUUUUAAUUGUUUUUUCUAUCGAAUCCCUAUCUGGACUUAGGGUUAGAGUUUUUAUUCUCUGUUAAGCACAACUCUACUCUUAUUUGUCAGUCAAUACACAAAUUGACUAUAUCACAAGACUCGAAUCACAGAUACACAGUACAAUAUUAACAGUCAAUAUCAAUAUUAAAUAAAAAAAAUUAUUCGUAAAAUUUUGGAUUAUUCAAAAUCCCGGGUUAUCACAUUCUCCCCUCCUUAUAAGGAUUCCAUCCUCGGAAUCACCGCUUUCCUAUCCUCUACAAUCUUUUAAAGUUGUAUCAUCAAUUCAUUCUUAUCAACACAAUACUAAUUUGUGUCUCAAAUUCUAACCUGUGACUUGGAUCUAUAAAAGAAAACAAUUCACAACAAUAUCUAACUCGUAUUUCUCGCGUACUUUAAUUUCUAACCGAACUCGUUACCUGUCGCCUUUUCAUGGGCAGCUGCUGCAUUUGGAACUAUCAUGCUAAAAGUGAAUGAUGUUGGUCUUCCCUGUUGAGCUGAUUCUUUGAUCCAUAUUGUUCCUAUGCUGGUUCUCUUAUUCACCCUCUUCUUUGGGUAAUCACGCAAUAGAUAAUCAAUUGAUCCACACGCAAAACAACCUUGUGUCUUCUUUGGAAUGGGACACUCGGGAGACAUGUGUCCCUCAUAGCCACAGUUGUAACAGACUCCUUUUUUCUUCAAACAACCUCCUUGAUGACGCUUCCCGCAAACUACACACGGCGUACCCUUCCUCCAACUCUAUUUUGGAUUAUUUCCUAAAUUAACAUUAUCAUCCCUCUUAAGUUUAUUAAAAUCAGUGCCUCCAUUACCACCUAUCAUAUUAUUUCCUUCAGCCUCCUUUCUUUGUUCUUGACUAUUCUUUAACACAGCUUCCAUUUCUCCCUCAACGAUAAUGGCUUUUUCCAAUAAAGUUGAAAAUGAAUUAAUUUGUAGCACAUCUAACUUCUCGAGUACCAAUGAUUUCAAUCCAUUCCUAAAACAUCGUGCUUUCAGUUCCUCAGUGUCCACUUGAUGUGGAACGAAUUUAGCUAUUUCGUUAAACUUGACAAAAUAUUCUGUCACUGUCAUAUUUUUUUGCUUCAGAUUCAAAAAUUGUUCUUCCAUAUUUUCCUUUAGACUUCCCUUCCUUGGCGGCAUUAUCUGAUAAAAAUCUUACAUUAAUUCUCUUUCUCUACACAAAUUCUUAUUAACCACACAAUAAGAAUUUAAUACAUAGUACAUUUAGCACUUAACACAUAGCAUUAUCCCUUUUUAAAUAAUAUCAGGAUUAACAACACAACUUUAAACAAAAGUUUAAUUCUCCGACUUUAAACAAAAAGUCGUAAUUCUCCAUUCACACAUAACUAUUCCCAGUUCAUCAAACUUACCACACCUAGGGGUUCAAAAACUUGCCACAAUUAUAUGAGUUUAUGAACUUAUCCUAGUCAGACCUUUGGAGUCCAUUCGUUGAGGGGUUCAAAACAUUUCAUAUAAUUAUGAGUCAUGAACUUACCAUAAGUAUGAGUUGUAAGAACUCACAAAUUAAUCUUAAUCUUAUAUUCAUAUAGAAAAUAAAGAUUUCAUUCAUACAAACAUAUAUAUUUACAUAUGUUCACACACUAGCAAAAGAUACUAUCGCUUAAACUUAAGCUAUCUACCGUCCACUCCCUUCACCAGUCUUCUUCUUGCUGGGACACUUGUUGAAUCCGUGACCCGUUCUUCCCCAUGAAAAACACUUUCUCAUAUUCGGCUUAGGACAAUGUAGGGAAAUAUGUCCUUCAUGCUUAUAAUUGAAGAACACGUUCUUCCGCAUCAUGCAUUCUCCCACGUGAGUCUUUCCACACUUGCUACAGACUUGCUUCUUAUUCGAGUUUGAAUUUUUAGAGUUAUCACUGUUGUUGUCCCUCUUUCUUUUAUUCUUUCCCUUCAACUUGAUUGUUCCUUCAAACGAUCCACUACCUUCAGUCUUCAUCCUUUCCACCUGCACCUUCAGCUCGUUCUAUUCUUCGGUCAUUUCGCGUAACGCUUGCUUCAUCUUACACAACUCCUCCCAGAGAAAUACUUUAUUCCGGAGUUCUUGGACUUCUGGAGAUUCUUGAUCUUUCUCUCCAAUUUUAGUCUUAUUCCCUUUCUCCACCUUAGCUUCUUUGGACUCAUCCUCCUCAUCACCAUUAAGAUACAUCUCGGGAUAAUCAUCAUGAUCACUCCACAAAUUAACCAUAUGUUCAUCUUUUCCCACUUUUACCACUAACUCGUUUUGUGUUGGCACCUAGGCUACUGGCACUGGUGCGACAGUCGCUAGCAUCUCCGUACUCAUUUUGUCUUCUCCAGACAUCCUACUAUCAAUUUAAAUAACUUGAUUAAUACUUCACUAGUACAAACUUCUCACACUAUGUAUCCACAUAUCUCACUAUUAAUGCGCUUUGACAGUCCCUCACUUAGUACUCUAAAUGAGUAUUCUCUAUCUCGCUUAUGGUUAUAAUCCUAGGGUUUCCCCACCCCACUUAAGGUUUAUAACCUACAACUUUGAUACCAACCUGGGACACCCCCAAAUCCGGGUUACCUGACCCCCGAGUUUGGUGCUCACAAUCCACAAUAUAAUUAACAUCUAACUACUCAUUCAUUGAUGAAUAGAAUAUUACACCACAUUAACUGAUAUAGUUAAUAUAUUUGUCCCAGGUUAUCUAACCUUAACAUUACAAACAUACCCCUUUAGAUAUACAAAAAGAGUUUACAAACAUAACAUAAUAAUAAUGUUCAUAAUAACUACGUUAUCACAAUGCCUUUGCCUUUGUCCUUCAUAGCACCUCCUGCCACCUCGUCCCUAGCUGAAAAGUUUUUUUUAGCAAGGGUGAGCAACAAAUUUACCCCGCAAGUUAAGAUAUACAAUGAAUGUAUAAGAAUCAAGAAUAACAUACUAUCUAUUUUGAUAGAAUAACAACAAAGUUCGGGGAGGUUUGAAAUAGCUGAACUAUUUGUUCUUCUCUAACCAAUCUUCUCACAAUCUAUGCAACACAAUAGUUCAAUAAUGAAAGGGUACAACACUUUCAAAGUUUCUACGUUAUUCGAUUAAAUAAUAAUUUAGAAGAAUUCUCCAAAAUUUAAGUUGAAUGAUCUCAAAUGAUCUUGAAAUUUAUCUUCUCGAGUAACUAUCAAAGAUUUACUUUGAUAUACCCAAAUAAUAGGAUGGAAAUAUUUUCCAGAGUUAUAUUGAGUGAUCACAAAGGAUCUUGAACUUCACUUCUCGAGUAACUAUCAAAGAUUUACUUUGAUAUACCCAGGUGUAUCAGAUAACCAUAAAGAUUAAAUCAUACCCCUCUGUAAGUAUAUAAAGUGAUCAGCUUCAUUAUACCCUAUAUUAUACAUAAUAUUUAAAAUGCGCGCAAUGGCCGAAUAUACGACCAAAAAUUCUAUCCCUUUUAUAAUAAAAGGUUGUUCUUCUCAGUCUUAGAAUCAGAAUUUGAUUUAACAAUGAAAUACAAUGAUUUCAAAAUCUAAUCACUUCUCUACUCUUCUCGAACUUAUCAAAUUUACUUUCUUGAUCUAAUCAAAAUAAUUGGCAUCGACCUAUCAAUAAUAAUUGAAUUCUCUUAUCUUAUCUUAUCUUCUCGAACUUAAUAAGUUUUAACAAAUAUUUGUCUAGCCAAAACAAUUGGCUAAGACAUUUCUCAACAUGAUUCAACAAUAGACAAAAAUUAUCUGUACUAUUUACAAUCACUAAUAGAUUCUACGGAUGUGAAUAUCCAAUAACAAAUACUCUACAAAUAUAUAUUCUCAGAAUCACUAAUUCAUUUUGAAUUAAUAAACAUGCACUAACUGCGAAUAAUCAACAAUAAAUUCUCAGACGUGGUCUAAUUAGCAAUAAUUAACCACCAUAAUAUUUGAACAAAUAUAACUCAAGGUUGAGUUAAGGAAACUUGCCUUCCGCGUUGAUUACUGCUACACAAUAUACUUAUCUGCGUUUGAAAGACCUAUAAUCACAAUAUCGGUCUUAUAAUUAGCACAAUAAUUCAUAACACACAAUACUGUAAUCUACAGUCAAAACUUCUCCUAGACACAUUACCAUAUAGUCACAUCAGUGUUUAUAACCUAUAUAAACACUUAUCAAGUCUAACUAGUUCGGUCUAGUUGGACUUCGGUCUCAUCUCGGUGUACUGGCCAUCAUAUCCGACAAUUAACACAUUUAUUGUCAAUUAAACUUGGUCUCUAAGUUUCAAUAUUAUUUAGAUAAGUCAAAUAUCAUUUAUAAGAUUUUUCAGAAGCUUUUAAUAAUUUUCUAACAAUUAUUAUAAUUUAUAAUAAUUUUUCAAACACCAAAAUUAUUUUUAAAUGAUUUAAAUACUGUUUAAUCCCAUCAUCAUUAAUAUUUAAUAAUAUUAAAAUAUUAAUAAUUUAUUUGUCAAAAUAUUAAAGUUAUUAGUAAUAACUUAAAAUACUUUUAAAUUAUCAAUAUUCUACUUAAAUGAUUUUUAAAAUAAAUAAAAAUCAUUUUUAAACCAUCACCAUUAAUAUUUAAAUAUUAAUGAAUUUAUCAUAAAAAUAUUAAAAGUCAUUAAUUAUAACUUAAAAUAUUUUUAAAUCAUUUUUCUCAUUUUUAAAUAAUUUUUAAAUCAAUAAAAUCAUUUUUCUAUCAUUUAUUUAAUAUAAUAUUUAAAUAAAUCUAAUAUCAUUAAUAUUAAUUUAUUAAUGAGAAUUCUCCAAAAAUAUUGAAAAUUAUAUUUUAUAAUUCAAAAUAUUUUAAAACACUUUAUUCUUCCUUAAAAUGAUUUUCAUAAUAUUAAAGUCAUUUUUAAUUCAUUUGUUUAAUAUAAUAAUUAAAUAAAUAUAAUAUCAUUAAUAUUAAAUUAUUAAUGAUAAUUCUCUAAAAAUACUAAAAGUUACAUUUUAUAACUCAAAAUAUUUUUAAACACUUUAUUCUUAUUUAAAAUAAUUUUUAUAAUAUUAAAAUCAUUUUUCUCUAAUUUAUUUAAUACACUAAUUAAAUAAAUUAAAUAUCCUUAAUAUUCAAAUAAUUAUAAAUAUUAAUGGAAAAAAAUCCCAAAUAAUUAAAAGUUAUUUUUCAUAAUUUAAAAUAAUUUUUAAAACCAUUUUUUGUAAUUUUUAGAAUUUAUUUUCUUUUUUUAAUUAAUUUCCAGAAAAUCAGAAUUAAAAAUAUUAGAAACCAUACGCUAUAGCCUAUAGCGACACUAAGCGUCGUUGUUGGUGUUCUUGAGCCUCAAGAACACUGACAGUUCAGUUAGCAAGGGUCAACGUUUGACCGCUUAUAAUUAUCAGUGUAAUUCGUUUCUGGGCUAGCUUGAACCUUGAUCGUGUAGUUAAACUGUAACACUAUGAUAACCAACCAUCAUCUAGGUCAUACAACAAACACACAAGGAGAUCUGAUCUCCCAAAGUCAUUGUCAGACAGCUUCUAGGUUUUCUGGAAAACAAAGAAACCCAACAGCUUCGAGGGUCCAUUUUGGGCCUCGAUUAAUAUAGUGUUCUGGUCAUGAUUCAUGUGGUCUCAUGGUUCCAAUAUGUAGUCCUUAUGUCAAGGAACAAAUACAUAACAUGCUCUCAGUCCAACAAUAACAGAAACAUAAUUUAUGACUCGGUCAAAGCUUUUCAAACGGCCUGUUCUUAUGGUUUCUGGAAGUCCCAGAAACGUGAUCCGUGUUUGACUGGCCUAUUUUGACCACUUAUUACACUCGAUCUGUUGAUGUUUUAAAUGAUCUUAAGGCAUGGGUCUUGUGACACCCCCAAUUCUAGGUACUUCAUUCCCACAAGAUUUGGUGCUCACUAUCCAUACAUUCAUACUAUCUACCCAAAUAAAUAUUAUUUAAAUCAUAAAUCCUUCCCUUAAAUAGGGUUACAUUUAUAAAUUCAAAAAUAAUCCCAGGUUAUCCAACCUUUAAACAUCAUUCAAGUGCGGAAAUAAUGUAAGACCCCAACUUUUAUGAAUAAAGAUUAAUUUUCUAUAAAUAUUAUUUUUGAAUAUUAGGGAAUAAAUUUGAUAUAAUGUUAUAGUUGUGGGUAAGAUUUAUAAAUUUUACAAAAUGCGCAAGUUGUUAUAUAAUAUUUAAUUGGUUGGGGAAUAUUCGUACGACGGCGCAAUCAUUGGUGGACCCCACAACGGAAUUAUUGUCGGAUUGAGAAAACGACAAAAAUAUUUUAUUGAAAAUAACGGCGGAAGUUUUACCGUUAAUACUGUUGAAACACCUGGUGUUAAAAGUACAGGAAUACGCGUGGUUGCAUAGUAGCACACAGUAUUGAUUAUUAAUGCUUACGUGAGAAGUCACUCAGUUUUGUUCAAUUAUUGUUAUAGUAAUUGAUGCAUAGUAUCUCACGUUAUUUGAUUCAAUUAUUGUCAAUAUUUUGUAUAUUUUUUUAAAUCAAUAAUUGAGAUGACAGAGUUAUUAAUAUUAUUAUUUGCAAUAUUAACGAUAUCUAGAAGUUCUGCCAAGGAGAGAUUUGGUCACCUAAUUACGCGCCAAUAGGGAGAAAUAUUUAUUGGAAAGCCCCUUCUUUCCUGGAACGACCUGGUCGAUUAAUAUUGUGAAUUAUAAUAAUGAUGAUAAAUGUUGUUAAAAAUAUUGAGAGGUUUUUAUGAAGUAGUUGUUGUAAAUUUUACUUGUUAUUUGGACCCCCCAUUUACUUAUUUUUCAAAACUGUAGGUAGAUGAUAUCUCAGUUUUGUUUAUAUAUAUAUAUAUUAUAUAAGUUAUUAUUAUUAUAUUAUAUAUAUAUAUAUAUAUAUAUAUAUAUAUAUAUAUAUAUAUAUAUAUAUAUAUAUAUAUAUAUAUAUAUAUAUAUAUAUAUGCAGGUUUGAAUUAUUGACAGGAAGAUGAUCACGGGAAUGCAUCCCGUGAAUUUAUUAUGAGCAUGCGUAUAUAUAUAUAAUAUAUAUUAUAAUUUAUUUAAAAGUUAUGUUUUAUUAGAAUAUUUUAUGGACUAUCCGAUUAAAAGUAAAUUAAUCUGGACCGUUCAUGAAUUAGUUACUAUGCAGUCUGUGACGCCCCCAAAAUAGGUCCAAUCCAUCCAACCUAUUCUGAGUCAACAAAUACAUGGUACAGAAAACAACUACAACUUUAUUACUACAAUUGUCGUGCAAAAUACAACAACACAUAUACUGUGAGUUUUAAUACCAACUGUGACUCAUUUCCCAACUAUGGACAACACCUCACAGUGAUACCUUACAUAAAAGUACAAUCUAGAACUGUUUUAAAAAUUAAAAUCUUUGGGAAGUGCUCAAGGAAAUCUUCGUACAUAGGAGGCCAUGAAUCUGAGUUAUGAUAGAUAUCAUAUGUCCAGAGAAUUAUCCUUGGUUGAUCCAAUAGACCCCAAAGAAAAAUGAAAAGAUUACUAUCAUGUUCCUUCCAAUGGUGAGUCUUCUCUUGACAUAUAACUAUCUCCACCGUCUGCGAUUGAACAUUAUGUUUCAACCCAACUCCAAGAUCAUAUAGGUAGUGAUCGUAGAUAUACUCAGCAAGUAGAUGUGCACAACCCUUUCUUAUGAUAACACGAGAUUGUAUGUUAUUAGACAUCUUGGAUGAUAGUGACAAAACACCCUUCCAAAGUUGGGUUCGCCUCACCCUAUUCGGUUCACCAAAAUUAAAUAUCAAAUGACGUAUAAAAUACGACACAUUUAUCUAAAGUUCUCAAUAAAAUUAUUUUCAUACUAUUUAGAGAGAACCUCAACAGCUAUAGACCACCGUUCUAUUCUCAUGUUAUCCCCGCUUGACCCAGCUACACUCUUAUUACCUGAAAGGAAUUAUGAAGCAAAAGGGUGAGCACAACUAGCUCAGUAAAGAAUAUCAUGACUAAAGAUAAUUAAAUUAUCAAUAUCCUUCAUCAGUAAUAAAUCAGAGAUUUAGAACAUAUGGUAGAUGAUAAAACUUUUCAACCAUAGUUGUAGCAGAAUGAGCAAUCCAUUAGAAGAGUCAAAUAAACCAUAAAGUCUAUUAUCUUCUCCAUGUUAAAAGUCCAUCAAUAAUGCUUUAACCUUGUAACAUUAAUCAACAUAUCCUGUUCACAGUCAUGUGAAUAACUCAUAAUCAUAAUUGUAGUUCUAAUUUUCUCUUCUCAUCCAAGACGAAGAAAUUUUCAUCACCUGUCUUUACCUGAAAUAUCAAAGAUCAUGGUUACACCAAAUCACAGUUCCUGUUCAUAAUCUUAUUAAUAAAUUCAUCGUUGCACUACGGGCCAAAGAUAUUCAUCAACAGUUCAUCUUUGCACUACAGACCAAAGAUAUUCAACAACAGGACAUCUUUGCACUACGGGCCAAAGAUAUUCAACAACAGGACAUCUUUCCACUACGGGCCAAAGAUAUUCAACAACAGGUCAUCUUUGAACUUACAGGCCAAAGAUAUUCAUCAAUAAUUCAUCUUUGCACUACGGACCAAAGAUAUUCGUAUCUCAAAGAACUAUACAAUCAUUUCAGAAUUUAUAUAAACCAUAAUUAUAAUCAUGUUGAUCAAUUCACAUUUGCACUUAAGCUAAAAAUAUUCAAUUGUAAAUCCAAUGGUCAUGAUCAUACCAGUCAACAAUUCAUCUUUGCACUACUGGCCAAAGUGAACCCAUAGUCACGAUCAUACCAAUAAUCUACCCAUCUUUACACUUAAGUCAAAGAGAAAUUUCAUCACCGAGAUUAUAAAAGUGUUAUAUAUGAUAAUAUAUAAAAACAAUAUGAUCAAGAACUGCAUUUAAUUCCAAGAGUAAGAUUCAUAAAUCAAUAAUUUCAUAACACCUUAAUCCAAAUAUUAUAAAUCACUUAAUAAUCUCAUAAUCUAAUAUUAUUAAUAUUACCACAAUAUUUUAAUCAUUUCUUAAACUUAUAAACAAUUUAUUUUAAUUGUUUACACUUUACUAAUUAAUGCAUUUAAUCAUCCUAAAAUGCUAAACUCAUAAGAUUUCAUCACCAAUAACCAAAACCCUCAUCAAAAAUAUGCAUAUACCAUAUAUAUAAUUCUCAAGCCAUAAAAUCAUAUUUUCUAAUUUUCUUACUUCAAAUAACGUAUUUAAUUCAUUUAUUCAUAACUAUUCUAUUUUCAUGAAAAAUACCAAAUCAGUACCAAAAAUAUUUCUUUUCUGGGAUUUAUCAUAACAUAGUCCUAUAUUGAACAUAUAUUUUUCUCAAAAUUUUUAAAAUUCAAUUACUAUUUUUCAUAUGGUCAAAACUACCGAAUAUUUAGACAUUUAUCAUAAAUUGUACUUUUAUCCAAAAAUUCCAAAAUUUACAGGGUAUACUGAUAUUAUAUAGAUGUACUCCCAAUAAAAAUUUCAUCAAUUUUGGAGUUAACCACAAGGAGUUAUAAGGGUUUACUUUUAAAAUAGUAUUUUCUCAUAAAUUCCAUAACUCCUAAUCUAUACAUCCAAAAAUCGCCAUUUUUGGACACAAUCAAUAAAACUCAUCAAAUUGUAAUUUUAAAUUUUUCCAGAAUUUUUGAAGGUCAGAAAAAUUUCAAAACUGAAAAACAUAAUAACCUUUAAAAUCCCUUACAAUCGCUUACCUCGAAAGAGCAGUAUUUCUGACCGGAAUGGAAAGCCGAAGGAACCUUGCACUGAAUAGCAACUCUCAAAGUAUCUAAAUACUCACAAAAUAUGCUUGAUAAUAUAGAGAGAGAAAGAGAGAAAGCUUAUGUUUCUGGUGUGAUUUUCAAUUCUAACUUAGCCCUCUAUUUAUAGGAAAAUGUUAGCACGCCGAAGCAGACUUGACUUGCUACCUGAUGGCUUUACCUGCUACUAUUACCACCCACCACAUUUGAAAUAAAAUUCAGCACAUUUCUUCACCAACCACAAGUGGGGCCCACUCAAUUCUAAAAUUUUCCACCAAAAUCAAUUAUAACCCUAAUUUCUGAAUUAGUCACCUCUUAAAAUUCAUAAAAAAUCAUUCGUUCAUCUUUAACGGUUCAAAAUUUGUGGACAUAUACUCAACUUAUAUAUGUAUAACAUAUCCAAAAAUCACAACGAUCCAACGGUCGGAUUAAAAAUUAUAACUCACGCAAUAUAUCGUAAAAAUACUGAUUUAAUUUUUAAUACCUCCAUUCCGACAAAAACACCUCAACAUUAAUUCCUUCAAUUAUAUCCAUAUAAAAUAAAUAUAACCAUCAAUUAUAAAAUAAAUAUUUCAUUAUCAUAUGAAUCAAUAAUUAAUUAUUCACAAAUAAUAUUAUAGAAUCAUAAUUAUGACAACCAUGCCGUUCCCAGGAAAGAGGGGGCUUUCCAAUAAGGAUUUCUCCUUACUGGCGCGUAAUUAGGUGACCAAACCUCUCCUUUGACAGAACUUUCUAGACAUUGCCAAUAAUGCUAUCUAAUAAUAUUAUUCAAAUAAUAUGAAUUAUUGAUCUGAUAAUGGAAAAUACUGUGCAAUGACAAUUAUUGAGACAACAAUAAUAUAAAAUAUCAACGCAACAAUUAUUGAAUCAAUAAAAUAAAAUAUUGAACAGUAAUUACUGUAACAAUUAUUGAGUAGUGCCUUCCUACGUAAGAAUCAAUAAUUCAAAAAUAUUGUGCAAUACCGUGUGCUACUGUGCAACAACGCGUAUUACUAUAUUUUAACCACCAGGUAUUCCAAUAGUGUUAACGGUAACAACUACGCCGUUAUUUAUAAAAACUUAAACUUGUCGUUUUCUUCAUCUGACAAUUAUUCUGUUAUGGGCCCACAAACGGUUGCGCCGUCGUACGAAUAUUCUCCGACAACAAGAAUAUUCCACGACCGAACAAAUAUUCCCCGACAACAAUAAGUAUUUUAUAGCCACUUGCUUAUUUUAAAAAAAAUUCAUAUAUCACCCUUAACUUUACUUUUUAUCAAUUUAACCAUUUACUAAAUAGGAAAAUUGAAUACUUUUAUUUCAUAAAAUUUGGGGUCUUACAAUCUCCCCUCCUUAUGAAAUUUCGUCCCCGAAAUUUACAUACCUAGUAUUUCAAAGAGUUAAGAAUACCUUACUUUCAUUUCAGAUUCCAUCUUCUCUGUCAGCAUGAUUUCUCCAUUGCUCAUCUCCUGUAUUUCAGAUAUUAUUCUAGAAUACAGCUUCAAAACAAGGGUUAAUUGAACAAAUUAACAUAUCACAUAAUAUCCCAAUAUUAUGACUGACCAACAAUUAAGCUUAGGUAGGACACACACUAGCGAAGGAUAUUACUCGUCUCUCCCCUUCCUAGUUCUAAUCCCGGAUCUCCGCCAGAGAUCAUAUCCCUAAGAUGUGAUACCAACUGUGACGCCCCCAAAAUAGGUCCAAUCCAUCCAACCUAUUCAGAGUUGCCAAAUACAUGGUACAGAAAACAACUACAACUUUAUUACUACAAUUGUCGUGCAAAAUACAACAACACAUAUACUAUGAGUUUUAAUACCAACUGUGACUCAUUUCCCAACUAUGGACAACACCUCACAGUGAUACCUUACAUAAAGGAACAAUCUAGAACUGUUUUAGAAAUUAAAAUCUUUGGGAAGUGCUCAAGGAAAUCUUCAUACAUAGGAGGCCAUGAAUCUAAGUUAUGAUAGAUAUCAUAUGUCCAGAGAAUUAUCCUUGGUUGANNNNNNNNNNNNNNNNNNNNNNNNNNNNNNNNNNNNNNNNNNNNNNNNNNNNNNNNNNNNNNNNNNNNNNNNNNNNNNNNNNNNNNNNNNNNNNNNNNNNNNNNNNNNNNNNNNNNNNNNNNNNNNNNNNNNNNNNNNNNNNNNNNNNNNNNNNNNNNNNNNNNNNNNNNNNNNNNNNNNNNNNNNNNNNNNNNNNNNNNNNNNNNNNNNNNNNNNNNNNNNNNNNNNNNNNNNNNNNNNNNNNNNNNNNNNNNNNNNNNNNNNNNNNNNNNNNNNNNNNNNNNNNNNNNNNNNNNNNNNNNNNNNNNNNNNNNNNNNNNNNNNNNNNNNNNNNNNNNNNNNNNNNNNNNNNNNNNNNNNNNNNNNNNNNNNNNNNNNNNNNNNNNNNNNNNNNNNNNNNNNNNNNNNNNNNNNNNNNNNNNNNNNNNNAUCAAAGAUCAUGGUUAUACCAAAUCACAGUUCCUGUUCAUAAUCAUACUAAUAAAUUCAUCUUUGCACUAUAGGCCAAAGAUAUUCAUCAACAGUUCAUCUUUGCACUACAUGCCAAAGAUAUUCAACAACAGGACAUCUUUGCACAACAGGCCAAAGAUAUUCAACAACAGGUCAUCUUUACACUUACAGGCCAAAGAUAUUCAUCAAUAAUUCAUCUUUGCACUACGGACCCAAGAUAUUCAUAUCUCAAAGAAAUAUACAAUCAUUUCAGAAUUUAUAUAAACCAUAAUUAUAAUCAUGUUGAUCAAUUCACCUUUGCACUUAAGCUAAAAAUAUUCAAUUAUAAAUCCAAUGGUCAUGAUCAUACCAGUCAACAAUUCAUCUUUGCACUACUGGCCAAAGAGAACUCAUAGUCACAAUCAUACUAAUAAUCUACCCAUCUUUACACUUAAGUCAAAGAGAAAUUUCAUCACCGAGAUUAUAAAAAUGUUAUAUAUGAUAAUACAUAAAAACAAUAUGAUCAACAACUGCAUUUAAUUCCAAGAGUAAGAUUCAUAAAUCAAUGAUUUUAUAACACCUUAAUCCAAAUGUUAUAAAGCACUUAAUAAUCUCAUAAUCUAAUAUUAUUAAUAUUACCACAAUAUUUUAAUCAUUUCUUAAACUUAUAAACAAUUUAUUUUAAUUGUUUACACUUUACUAAUUAAUGCAUUUAAUCAUCCUAAAAUGCCAAACUCAUAAAAUUUCAUCACCAAUAAUCAAAACCCUCAUCAAAAAUAUGCAUAUACCAUAUAUAUGAUUCUCAAGCCAUAAAAUCAUAUUUUCUAAUUUUCUUACUUCACAUAACGUAUUUAAUUCAUUUAUUCGUAACUAUUCCAUUUUCAUGAAAAAUACCAAAUCAGUACCAAAAAUAUUUCUUUUCUGGGAUUUAUCAUAACAUAGUCCUAUAUUGAACAUAUAUUUUUCUCAGAAUUUUUAAAAUUCAAUUACUAUUUUUCGUAUGGCCAAAACUACCGAAUAUUUAGAUAUUUAUCAUAAAUUGUACUUUUAUCCAAAAAUUCCAAAAUUUACAGGGUAUACUGAUAUUAUAUAGAUGUACUCCCAAUAAAAAUUUCAUCAAUUUUGGAGUUAACCACAAUGAGUUAUACGGGUUUACUUUUAAAAUAGUCUUUUCUCAUAAAAUCCAUAACUCCUAAUUUAUACAUCCAAAAAUUGUCAUUUUUGGACACAAUCAAUAAAACUCAUCAAAUUGUCAUUUCAAAUUUUUCAAAAUUUUUGAAGGUCAAAAAUAUUUCGAAACUGAAAAACAUAAUAACCUUUAAAAUCCCUUACAAUCCCUUACCUCGAAAGAGCAGUAUUUCUGACCGGAAUGGAAAGCCGAAGGAACCUUGCACUGAAUAUCAACUCUCAAAGUAUCUAAAUACCCACAAAAUAUGCUUGAUAAUAUAGAGAGAGAAAGAGAGAAAGCUUAUGUUUCUGGUGUGAUUUUCAAUUCUAACUUAGCCAUCUAUUUAUAGGAAAAUGUUAGCACGCCGAAGCAGACUUGACCUGCUACCUGAUGGCUUUACCUGCUACUAUUACCACCCACCACAUUUGAAAUAAAAUUCAGCACAUUUCUUCACCAACCAUAAGUGGGGCCCACUCAAUUCUAGAAUUUUCCACCAAAAUCAAUUAUAACCCUAAUUUCCGAAUCAGUCACCUCUUAAAAUUCAUAACAAAUCAUUCGUUCAUCUUUAACGGUUCAAAAUUUGUGGACAUAUACUCAACUUAUAUAUGUAUAACAUAUCCAAGAAUCACAACGAUCCAACGGUCGGAUUAAAAAUUAUAACUCACGUAAUAUAUCGUAAAAAUACUGAUUUAAUUUUUAAUACCUUCAUUCCGACAAAAACACCUCAACAUUAAUUCCUUCAAUUAUAUCCACAUAAAAUAAAUAUAUCCAUCAAUUAUAAAAUAAAUAUUUCAUUAUCAUAUGAAUUAAUAAUUAAUUAUUCACAAAUAAAAUUACAGAAUCACAAUUAUGACAACCAGGCCAUUCCCAGGAAAGAGGAGGCUUUCCAAUAAGGAUUUCUCCUUACUGGUGCGCAAUUAGGUGACCAAACCUCUCCUUUGACAGAACUUUCUAGACAUUGCCAAUAAUGCUAUCUAAUAAUAUUAUUCAAAUAAUAUGAAUUAUUGAUCUGAUAAUGGAAAAUACUGUGCAGUGACAAUUAUUGAGACAACAAUAAUAUAAAAUAUCAACGCANNNNNNNNNNNNNNNNNNNNNNNNNNNNNNNNNNNNNNNNNNNNNNNNNNNNNNNNNNNNNNNNNNNNNNNNNNNNNNNNNNNNNNNNNNNNNNNNNNNNNNNNNNNNNNNNNNNNNNNNNNNNNNNNNNNNNNNNNNNNNNNNNNNNNNNNNNNNNNNNNNNNNNNNNNNNNNNNNNNNNNNNNNNNNNNNNNNNNNNNNNNNNNNNNNNNNNNNNNNNNNNNNNNNNNNNNNNNNNNNNNNNNNNNNNNNNNNNNNNNNNNNNNNNNNNNNNNNNNNNNNNNNNNNNNNNNNNNNNNNNNNNNNNNNNNNNNNNNNNNNNNNNNNNNNNNNNNNNNNNNNNNNNNNNNNNNNNNNNNNNNNNNNNNNNNNNNNNNNNNNNNNNNNNNNNNNNNNNNNNNNNNNNNNNNNNNNNNNNNNNNNNNNNNNNNNNNNNNNNNNNNNNNNNNNNNNNNNNNNNNNNNNNNNNNNNNNNNNNNNNNNNNNNNNNNNNNNNNNNNNNNNNNNNNNNNNNNNNNNNNNNNNNNNNNNNNNNNNNNNNNNNNNNNNNNNNNNNNNNNNNNNNNNNNNNNNNNNNNNNNNNNNNNNNNNNNNNNNNNNNNNNNNNNNNNNNNNNNNNNNNNNNNNNNNNNNNNNNNNNNNNNNNNNNNNNNNNNNNNNNNNNNNNNNNNNNNNNNNNNNNNNNNNNNNNNNNNNNNNNNNNNNNNNNNNNNNNNNNNNNNNNNNNNNNNNNNNNNNNNNNNNNNNNNNNNNNNNNNNNNNNNNNNNNNNNNNNNNNNNNNNNNNNNNNNNNNNNNNNNNNNNNNNNNNNNNNNNNNNNNNNNNNNNNNNNNNNNNNNNNNNNNNNNNNNNNNNNNNNNNNNNNNNNNNNNNNNNNNNNNNNNNNNNNNNNNNNNNNNNNNNNNNNNNNNNNNNNNNNNNNNNNNNNNNNNNNNNNNNNNNNNNNNNNNNNNNNNNNNNNNNNNNNNNNNNNNNNNNNNNNNNNNNNNNNNNNNNNNNNNNNNNNNNNNNNNNNNNNNNNNNNNNNNNNNNNNNNNNNNNNNNNNNNNNNNNNNNNNNNNNNNNNNNNNNNNNNNNNNNNNNNNNNNNNNNNNNNNNNNNNNNNNNNNNNNNNNNNNNNNNNNNNNNNNNNNNNNNNNNNNNNNNNNNNNNNNNNNNNNNNNNNNNNNNNNNNNNNNNNNNNNNNNNNNNNNNNNNNNNNNNNNNNNNNNNNNNNNNNNNNNNNNNNNNNNNNNNNNNNNNNNNCUAAGGUUAGAGUCUUAUAACAUUAGAAAUGAAAUUACUGAACAUACAUUGACUGAUAGCAAGCUGGAAACUAAAAACUUGCCCAACAUGGUAUUAAUUCAUGCAAGGAUUAAAAACAGUUCAAUAAUAGAGAAGAGAGUUCAAACUGUAUUCAUUAUACAAGAAUAUAACUCAAGAACUUGCUUAAUCAGAAACAAGUUAGAAUGAAUCAACAAAAAUUAGAAUUCAAAUAACAUUAGAGUUAAAGUUUUCUCGAAUGAACUCUAGGGACAAUUGACUUAUACAAUUAACAGUUGAAAUAGAAACCUUGCUCAAUCAAAGAAUAAAUCUACAUAAUGUAAUAAUGGAACUAGCUCAACGAAAUUAAAGAAUUAGGAAACUUUAUUAAUGUAAAAGAUAGAGUUUAGAAACUUGCCUCGAGCGUAAGCUACAAUAUUAAACUCACGUUCACCUACACAUUGGUUUAAAACCACAUUAUCUAUUAGAUAUGCUAACAUACCAUAACAUUUACACUUCUAUCUAAACGUAUCAUUGAAGCACAAGUCUUUCAUUACCAUUUACAUUUCAGAAAUUCCAAGUGUUAUACUUCGCAACACUUAUCUAACGUUCAUUGUAUAUACUAAGUUAUCACAUAACGCGUUCUCGAUUUACAAAUUACUUUUUAAAAUUUUGAAGUCAUAAUCCACAUAAUAUGACUCUAUUUAACCUUGUUGUUACAUGAUUCUCACACUACCAUAACCUUAAGCUACACUACAAAGAACGACCAAAGUCUGCAGAAAAAACAGACUUCAGUGUCUGAAAAUGGGCACUGGCGCGGCCGCGCGAGUUUUGUAUGGGGAUGCCGCGCGCCCGCACCCAAGGGCCUCACGCUCGCGCCCAAGGGCAUCGCGGCCGCGCGACUUACAAAACUCAGUUUUGCAGAACAGAGUUUCGGCACUUUUCUUAAGCCAACUAACACGAAUUUCACCCAUCAAACAGUGAUAACAACACAUAAAAUAAAUAUACAACUAUCAUAGACAUGGUUGCUAACACAUGCAACCACUUAACACAAUUUUACAUCCACUAAAACUAUUUUAAUUUCUCAUUUUUUAUGUUUUCAUGAAAAACUCAAUUUUCUUGACAUUCAUCCUAAAAAUCAUCACUGUGAAUUCAUUACUUGACCAAAUCAUCUCAUUCAAAUUACAUUAUGUUCGUAUCUCAACAAACUAGCAUAAAAAAAACUCAAUUAACAUCUUAACAUGCAAUUUGACCAUCAAAAUUGAUACUUACAUAGCUACAUAUGAAAACAUAAACACUGACAUCAUUUUCUUUUACUGUUAUCCUAAAAUUAACAUGCGAUUUCCUUAUUUAAACACAACCUCCAGUCAUCAUAUACUCAUAUAAUCACAAGUAAUCCCAUUGUAUAGCAACAAUUCAACAAAUUUGAAAUUCACAGAUUAUAUAAAAGUUUGUCGUAGCCUCAUAUAUACAUAUACAUAUACAUAUAUAACACUAAGGUUGUGAACAUACCUUCAAUUAGCGUGUAACUCUUGCUAACCCACUGGAAUUACUUGAAAAUCCUAAGCUUUAUCUCAAUUUCUCUCAACUCUCAAUUCUCUCUAUUGCCUCUAGGCUAGCAAAACCAGAAUGAAGCUCUAAUAGCCAGUAUGCGCAAUAACCAAAAUGAAAAACUAAUAAUCUUAAUAUGCCAACUUAAUUAUAAUAACGGUUACCACAUAAACGUAUAUAAUAUAAAUAUAUAUUAUACUUAUUAAUUUAAUUUAAUUAAUUUAUUUUAUUUAAAUUCAAAAAUUAGAAAUUCAAAAGCCAUAAGGCUUGUUUGGCAAAAACCCUUUAAAUUUUAAAAAAUUAAAAUACCUUUAAACCUUGUUUGGCAAAAACUAAUUUAAAUCCUUUUUAAUUUAUUUUAAUAAACACUUUAAUUUAUAAUUUAUAAUUACAUAUUAUUAUUUGGAUUUCCAUACCCAACAUUGAUCCAUUAAAUUAAACACAUACUAUAUUUUAAUUAAAUAUAGCAUUUAACAAAUAUCACAAAAUUAUAAUUUUUAUUAUAACUUUAUUUAAUAAUUUAAUAUAUCAUUUGAAAUUAUUAAUUAACAAUAUAACACUUCAUGCUAUAAUACAAUUCUCUAAAUUAUAUAUUAAUUUAAUUUAGAAAAAAUUCAUCACAUCAAUAAAAUAUUUAUUUUCUCAAUUCAAUAAUAGACUCAUCAAAUAAAUAUUUAUAUUAUUCAAUAAAUAUUUAAUAAUACAACUUGAAAUUUCAGAUCAUUACAUCCUUCCCUCUUUACAAGGUUUCUGUCCCCAGAAUCACAAUUCAAACAAUCAAAUCGUCACAUUCUCCCGUACUUACAAAGAUUCUGUCCCCAGAAUCGAAGACACAGACUAAACAAAUAACUCAAGGUAAUUCUUCAUCAUUUCCACUUCGAGUUCCCACGUAGCCUCUUCGACAUUGUGGUUUCUCCAUAUCACCUUUACAGAAGGUAUCACUUUAUUCCUGAGCACUUGUUCUUUCCUGUCUACUAUCUGGAUAGGAAUCUCUUCAUAAGACAAAUAUUUAUUGAACUGCAAUGGUUCAUACUCAAUCUCAUGCUUGUAAUCCGGUUUAUACGGUCGCAACACCAACACAUGAAAAACAUUGUGCACAUGCUCUAAUUCUGGAGGUAAGGCUACUUUGUAAGCCACAUCUCCCACUCUGCGUAGAAUUUCGAAAGGUCCAAUAAACCUCGGGUUGAGCUUGCCUUUCUUGUCGAAACGAAUCUUCCCCUUCCAAGGAGAAACUUUCAGGAAUACGAAAUUUCCUACUUCAAACUCACGACUCUGCCUGUGUUGAUCAGCAUACUUUUUCUGUCGAUCUUGAGCAGCUACCAGUCUUGCUCUGAUGAGUUUGACAACUUCAGCGGUCUGCUGAAUCAGUUCUGGGCCCAACAGUUAUCGUUCUCCAACUUCAUCCCAGCAUAGUGGAGUUCUGUACUUUAUGUCGUAUAACGCCUCGUAUGGCGGCAUACCAAUGCUUGCGUGGUAACUGUUGUUGUAUGAAAAUUCCACCAACGGUAGAUUAUCAUCCCAGUUUCCUUUGAAAUCCAUGAUGCACGCUCUAAGCAUAUCUUCAAGCGUUUGAAUCGUUCUUUCGCUUUUCCCAUCGGUUUGUGGAUGAUACGCUGUGCUCAUCUUCAAUUGCGUUCCCAUGCAUUCUUGUAGUCUCUUCCAGAAAUUUGAUGUGAACCUCAGAUCUCUGUCUGAUACAAUUGACACUGGAACUCCAUGUCUUGAGACGAUCUCUUUAACGUAUAGUUUUGCCAGCUGAUCAAGAUUAAAUCUAAUCUUUAUUGGCAAAAAGUGUGCACAUUUUGUUAAUCUAUCCACUAUCACCCAUAUCGCAUCGUAUCCAUUCUGAGUCGUUGGAAGACCUACCACAAAAUCCAUUGUGAUAUGCUCCCACUUCCAUUCCGGUAUCUCCAACGGUUGAAGUAAUCCACUUGGUCGUUGAUGCUCGGCCUUCACUUUCUGACAUGUCAAGCACUUUGCAAUGCAUUCUGCAACAUCUCUUUUCAUGUUCGGCCACCAAAAAUGACCUCGCAAAUCUUGAUACAUUUUUGUACUUCCUGGAUGAAUUGAAUAUCUUGAGCUAUGAGCUUCCGUCAAUAUGUCUUCUUUAAUAUCAUGUACUGCUGGAACCCAAAUUCAUCCCUCGAAUCUUAGCAUUCCCGCAGUAUCGACCUGGUAUUUCACUUCUUUUCCCUCGCCCACGCUUUCUUUUAUUUUCUUGAAUUUUGCAACCUGUAGCUGAGCGUUCUUCACUUUGUCCACCAGAGUUAGACUAGCUUCUAUCUGGUACAAUUUUUCAUCGGAUUCUUCUGGAAAUUUGAUUUCCAGCUCUAGCCUUGCCAUUGCUGUAAUAAGCUCCUCCUUAUCUGUUAACAACAUCAACUUUUCUCUGCCUUUCCUACUUAAGGCAUCUGCAACCACAUUAGCUUUGCUCGGAUGAUAAAAGAUCCCACAAUCGUAAUCCUUUAUCAAUUCCAUCUAUCUCCUUGGCCGCAUGUUCAGGUCUUUCUGUGUGAAAAUAUACUUCAGACUUUUAUGGUCUGUGUAGAUCUCACAUUUUUCUCCGUAGAGAUAGUGUCUCCAUAUCUUCAGUGCGAAUACAACCGCCACCAACUCUAAAUCAUGAGUCGGAUACCCUUUUUUGUAGUCUUUCAGUUGCCUUGAUGCAUAUGCAAUAACCUUGCUGUUCUGCAUAAGGACACAACCCAAACCUUUGUGUGAUGCAUCACUAUACACCACAAAGUUUCCUGUACUAACUGGUAACGACAACACAGGUGCCACACUUAACUUCUUCUUCAGUUCUUGAAAACUUUCCUCACACUUCUCCGUCCAAACAAAUUUUAUAGAUUUUCUUAUCAAAUUCGUCAACGGAGUGGCAAUCUUGGAAAAAUCCUCGAUAAACCGUCUAUAAUAGUCUGCCAAACCCAAGAAACUUCUUACUUCUGAUGGAGUUCUUGGUUGUUCCCAAUUUAUCACUGCUUCAACUUUUGAUGGAUCCACGGAAAUCCCAUCCUUAUCAAUUACAUGCCCAAGAAAUUGUACACGUUCCAGCCAAAAUUCACAUUUAGAGAAUUUCGCGUACAACGUUUCCUUCCUUAACGUCUCCAACGUCAGACGUAAAUGUUCCACGUGUUCCUCUUGAGUUUUAGAGUACACCAAAAUAUCAUCGAUGAACACCACCAAAAAUUUGUCCAAAAAUGGUUUAAACACCAUGUUCAUCAAAUCCAUGAACGCUGCAGGGGCGUUUGUCAAACCAAAUGACAUCACUAAAAAUUCGUAAUGCCCAUACCGAGUUCGGAAUGCCAUCUUCGGUACAUCCUCCUUCCUUACUUUCAAUUGAUGAUACCCACUUCACAAAUCUAUUUUCGAGAAAUAUCUAGCACCCUUCAACUGAUCAAACAAGUCAUCUAUUCUUGGCAAUGAAUAUUUGUUUUUAAUAGUGACCUUGUUCAAUUCCCUAUAAUCAAUGCAAAGUCGCAUUAACCCAUCCUUCUUCUUCACGAAUAACACCGGGGCUCCCCACGGUGACACACUCGGUUGAUCAAUAUACUUCUUGUCUAACAGCUCUUGCAGUUGCACCAUUAGUUCCUUCAUUUCCACCGAGGCCAUUCUGUACGGGGCCUUCGAUAUCGGAGUGGUUCCUGGCGCUAAGUCGAUCACGAACUCAAUUUCUCGGUUAGGCGGAAGUCCUGGCAAAUCCUCCGGAAACACGUCCACGAACUCCCUAACCACCGGUAUUUCCUCCAAUUUCACACACUUCUCCUUUUGAGUAUCGACUAUGUAAGCUAAAUAUCAUACACAGCCCUGACUCAAUAACUUUUUGGCCUGCAUCAUCGUCAGACAUUUCAUUUGUCUAGGCGAUUUGCUACCAUGAAAAACUACCUUUGACGGAGUCAUAAGGUUUACACACUUCUUUUGGCAGUCAAUUAUCACUCCAUAAUUGAACAACCAAUCCAUUCCCAAAAUAACAUCAAACUCUCUGAGUUUUAUCGGAAUUAAAUCUACUUUCAUAACAUUCCCCUUAAUGUUCACCCUACAGUUCUUGUAUACGAACCUAAUAGGAAUCACUUCCCUAUUCGCAAUUUCUAUGUUUAAAGGGAAAUUCAGCUCUUCACUAGGUAUUUCAAACUUCUUAGCAAAAUCAUCAGAUAUAAACGAGCAAGUUGCACCCGAAUCAAAUAAUACAUAUGCUUUUAUAUCAUUGAUUGGGAUAAUACCUGACAUGACAUCUUUUGAUUGCACUGCGUCCUAAACCGUUAUGUUGAAAGUUCUGACUGUGGGCUUAUUUGUUGUUGUUGGUCCAGCAAUAGCUAGCGCACCUCCACUAGCAUUUCCCUUGCUCCCAUUUGUCUCACCAGAUCUCUUCUUAGGGCAUUCCCGAGCAAAGUGAUCCUUGGAUCCGCACGUGAAGCACACAUUCUUCUUAGCUUGAGUACAAUUUGGGGCGAUGUGAUCCUCCUGACCACAAUUGAAGCAUACUGGCUUCCCCAUCAAGUACACACCGUUGUGAAACUUUCCACACGUAGCGCAUGCUUCGAACUUCUUAUUUUGCUGGUUUCUUUGCUGAUUUCCAGCUCCCCCAUUCCCAUUCCACUUCCUCUUCAAAUGGUUGCCAUUUCCACCAUUACCACCACCACCAUUCUUAGCUUCACCUUAACUUUUCUUCUUCCUCUGCUCCUGGUUAUGUUUUGUUAAUGCCUCGCCUCCACUUUCAGCGAGAAUUUCCUUCUCCAUUACUGUUGCAAAUGUCUUCAACUGGAACAGGGAAACCCUACUGUACAACCAGGGUUUCAGCCCCUGUUCAAACCUCUUUGCAUUGCGCUCGUCUGUACUGACUUGAUAUGGCGCAAAUCUCACCAACUCAUUGAAUUUUUCGGUAUACUCAGUCACCGACAUCGUUCCCUGCUUUAGUUCCAAAAACUGAACCUCUAGCUGGCUCUUCAAACUCUCUGGAAAAUAGGUCUCGAAGAACAGCUCUUUAAACCUAUCCCAGGUCAUCACUCCUGGUCCUUCCUGAGUUUUAUUGGCCUACCACCAAUAGCUCGCCUCUGCUUUCAACAUAAAUGUUGCAAAAGCAGUCUUCUCGUUAUCCUCAACCCUAGCAACAUCAAAAACCUUCUCGAUUUCCAUGAUCCAGGUUUGUGCUUCAACUGGAUUCAUGGACCCACAGAAUUCUGGUGGUCCAACCGCCUUGAAAUCCUUAAACUUAGUACCUUGAUUCUGAGGUUGAUUCUGCAAAGCACCCGUCAGUAACGUCACUAGCUGCUGAACCGGGUUUCCUUCCUCAUUGUUGUUGUUGUUGGUUUCCUCAGUGGUUCUCUGUCGUGGUGGUUGACGUCUUGGAGGCAUUUUCUGUUAAAAUACAUCCAUUAGCUUCUAUUCAACCUUUUAAGUAUUACAUACUUAAGUUGCACAUCAUAAAAUUUUAUCACAUAACACUUAACACUUUGAAUAAAACAAUAACUUUUAUUCAUUCAUCAUCUUUAAAAAAAACAUCAAAACAAUAGCAUCGCUGCUAUUUACAACAUCAUCAUCAUCUAUCCCAUUGGUUAUAUCAUAAAUGGGAUUUACAUUUCAUUUAUUUUCAAAUCACCUAUCAAUUACAUUUUAUACAAUGUCCUACUAAGAUACUGCGUAGCCUUACGACGCUCUUCCUCCAUGAUUCGGAAAAUUGCUCGGCGAUCUAAUAUGUAUGAUGGUAGCAUCUCGAACUGAAUCGGAUAACCCAUGACUCAAUCUUGAGCUCGAUUGAUCACGGUGUUGAAUACGUUGUUCAUUUCUUCCAUCUUCCUCCUUUUUGAUUGUGCGUCCCUCUCUGCUACUCCGGCUCGUUGAUAAGCUUCACUGUACGCGUCUUUGGCUCUUUCCCUUUUUGUAGAUUCUUCUUUCAACUUGUUCUUCAACUCUGCAAUCUCUGCCAUCAUUCGCUCAUUCUCUCCUUCAGUAUGGACCAGCUUCUCUUCAACGUUGUUCAGUCGUUCUUCUCGAUCUUGGAUCUUGUCGUCUUUCUGUGCCAUCGAGGUCUGUUGUUCAGCUACUAUCUCUUGUAACUCAUAGACGGUGUCUUGAAGUUCCACAUUGCGGUCAUACACCUCGUCGUACAUACGGACAUCUAUCGAAUUAAGUGGAAGCUCCUCCUCCUCCUCAUCCCCCCACUGCGGCAGCUCCACAGGGUCCUCCUCAUCCGUCUCUAUCUCAUCCUCCUCAUCAGGUACUCUCUCCUACUCAACUACUGUGACUGACGGAACUGUUUCCCGUGGCAGUAGUUGUUCCCAAAUCACCUGAAUAUCUCAAGGCUCCUCCUCUCUAGCCUGAUUGGAUCCUCCUAUAUUAGUCAUCCUGUCAACCAAAGUUUAAGUUUUAAUUACUAAUCAUUACUACUCGACACUCACGAGCACAUAAGUUUUAAUCACAUAAACACAUAAGUGUUUUAUUACUUUCUCUUUCCUAAAACACGAUAAGAGUUUAUCAUCACUAUCUUUUCAAAGGUUACUUCCUAAGGCUUUUCCCCACCGAAGGUUCAUAACCUAAGGCUUUGAUACCAACCUGUGACACCCCCAAAUCUAGGUACUUCAUUCCCACAAGAUUUAGUGUUCACUAUCCAUACAUUCAUACUAUCUACCCAAAUAAAUAUUAUUUAAAUCAUAAAUCCUUCCCUUAAAUAUGGUUACAUUUAUAAAUUCAAAAAUAAUCCCAGGUUAUCCAAACUUUAAACAUCAUUCAAGUGUGGAAAUAAAAUUUAUUACAUCACAUCAUUAUUAAAAAUUCUGAGAUCAUCAUAAUAAAUAAAAGUACAAAUCAGCAUCACUUGUACAAGUUUCCCUUUCCUUUGCUAGUUGAAGGUUCAUCUACCUUCUCCACUUUAGCUGUAAUGAGUAUAUAAAUAUGCAAGAGUGAGCAAAACAAUUGCUCACUGGAUAUAAUAAACAAUCAGCAUGAGAAUAACAAUAAUAACUGCCAACGAAUAGGCUCAUCAAAACUGAAUAGUACUCUAUCAAUGAUAAUCAGGAACUGGAAUCCAAAAUAUGGAAUAUACAUAACUAAGGGUCAUAAGACCAUGAACUAUGUCCACAGUUGCGAGUAAUCUUUCAACUCCAAUUUUAACAGUCAUAAGACUAUAAGGACUCCUCGUACUUAGGGGGAUCAACCCUUCGUACAAUGUAUUGUGCACAAACAUUUUAACGCUACGCAUAAGUUUUCCCCUAAUAAUAGUAGGGUUGGUCAUCUCAGUAUUUAGAGUACAAGUCCGCACCAAAGAAAGUUUGGUUUGGAUAAGCUUUCAAGGUUAAUUUGAAGUUUAACGAAUAUCAACUAGAGGACUAGUUGAAUCAAUAGUGUUUGAUAAUUACAACAUAACAUAGAACAAUUGAGAAUCAUAAAUGAACUGAUUAUACAUAUUAAACUCGUGCUUGAAAUAACUAUAGAGCAUAAGUACUCAACAAAAUGAAUAAAGUGAUAAACCUUUGCUUGAACAGAACAUAUGCUAAGGUUAGAGUCUUAUAACAUUAGAAAUGAAAUUACUGAACAUACAUUGACUGAUAGCAAGCUGGAAACUAAAAACUUGCCUAACAUGGUUUUAAUUCAUGCAAGGAUUAAAAACAGUUCAAUAAUAGAGACGAGCGUUCAAACUGUAUUCAUUAUACAAGAAUAUAACUCAAGAACUUGCUUAAUCAGAAACAAGUUAGAAUGAAUCAACAAAAAUGAGAAUUCAAAUAACAUUAGAGUUAAAGUUUCCUCGAAUGAACUCUAGGGACAAUUGACUUAUUCAAUCAACAGUUGAAAUAUAAAGCUUGCUCAAUCAAAGAAUAAAGCUACAUAAUGUAAUAAUGGAACUAGCUCAACGAAAUUAAAGAAUUAGGAAACUUUCUUAAUGUAAAAGAUAGAGUUUAGAAACUUGCCUCGAGCGUAAGCUACAAUAUUAAACUCACGUUCACCUACACAUUGGUUUAAAACCACAUUAUCUAUUAGAUAUGCUAACAUACCAUAACAUGUACACUUCUAUCUAAAUGUAUCAUUGAAGCACAAGUCUUUCAUUACCAUUUACAUUUUAGAAAUUCCAAGUGUUAUACUUCGCAACACUUAUCUAACUUUUAUUGUAUAUAUUAAGUUAUCACAUAACGCGUUCUCGAUUUACUAAUCACUUUUUAAAAUUUUGAAGUCAUAAUCCACAUAAUAUGACUCUAUUUAACCUUUUUGUUACAUGAUUCUCACACUAACAUAACCUUAAGCUACACUACAAAGAACGACCAAAGUCUGCAGAAAAAACAGACUUCAGUGUCUGAAAAUGGGCACUGGCGCGGCCGCGCGAGUUUUGUAUGGGGAUGCCGCGCGCCCGCACCCAAGGGCCUCACGCUCGCGCCCAAGGGCAUCGCGGCCGCGCGACUUACAAAACUCAGUUUUGCAGAACAGAGUUUCGGCACUUUUCUUAAGCCAACUAACACGAAUUUCACCCAUCAAACAGUGAUAACAACACAUAAAAUAAAUAUACAACUAUCAUAGACAUGGUUGCUAACACAUACAACCACUUAACACAAUUUUACAACCACUAAAACUAUUUUAAUUUCUCAUUUUUCAUGUUUUCAUGAAAAACUCAAUUUUUUUGACAUUCAUCCUAAAAAUCGUGAAUUCAUUACUUGACCAAAUCAUCUCAUUCAAAUUACGUUAUGUUCGUAUCUCAACAAACUAGCAUAAACAAAACUCAAUUAACAUCUUAGUAUGCAAUUUGACCAUCAAAAUUGAUACUUACAUAGCUACAUAUGAAAACAUAAACAAUGACAUCAUUUUCUUUUACUGUUAUCCAAAAAUUAACAUGCGAUUUCCUUAUUUAAACACAACCUCCAGUCAUCAUAUACUCAUAUAAUCACAAGUAAUCCCAUUGUAUAGCAACAAUUCAACAAAUUUGAAAUUCAUAGAUUAUAUAAAAGUUUGCCAUAGCCUCAUAUAUACAUAUACAUAUAUAUAUAUAUAACACUAAUGUUGUGAACAUACCUUCAAUUAGCGUGCAACUCUUGCUAACCCACUAGAAUUGCUUGAAAAUCCUAAGCUUUCUCUCAAUUUCUCUCAACUCUCAAUUCUCUCUAUUGCCUCUAAGCUAGCAAAACUAGAAUGAAGCUCUGAUAGCCAGUAUGCACAAUAACCAAAAUGAAAAAUUGAUAGUCUUAAUAUGCCAACUUAAUUAUAAUAACGGUUACCACAUAAACGUAUAUAAUAUAAAUAUAAAUUAUAUUUAUUAUUUUAAUUUAAUUUAUUUAUUUUAUUUAAAUUCAAAAACUAGAAAUUCAAAGGCCAUAAGGCUUGUUUGGCAAAAACCCUUUAAAUUUUAAAAAAUUAAAAUACCUUUAAACCUUGUUUGGCAAAAACUAAUUUAAAUCCUUUUUAAUUUAUUUUAAUAAACACUUUAAUUUAUAAUUUAUAAUUACAUAUUAUUAUUUGGAUUUCCAUACCCAACAUUAACCCUUUAAAUUAAACACAUACUAUAUUUUAAUUAAAUAUAGCAUUUAACAAAUAUCACAAAAUUAUAAUUUUUAGUAUAACUUUAUUUAAUAAUUUAAUAUAUCAUUUGAAAUUAUUAAUUAAAAAUAUAACACUUCAUGCUAUAUUACAAUUCUCUAAAUUAUAUAUUAAUUUAAUUUAGAAAUAAUUCAUCACAUCAAUAAAAUAUUUAUUUCCUCAAUUCAAUAAUAGACUCAUCAAAUAAAUAUUUAUAUUAUUCAAUAAAUAUUUAAUAAUACAACUUGAAAUUUUGGAUCGUUACAGGUCUACAGUCUAGACAACAUGCUACAAAUAUGUUACAACAACAUCAACAAACAACAUCAUGCCUUACAGAUCUGUACGUUACAAAAACUUGUCAAACCCGAUUACAUGAUUUCUGGGUUACCCAGAAAUCAGCCGAUCAAGCUCGGUCAACGGAGUUUGACCGUUAAUAACUUACGAUCUAGACAUGUAAUCGUUGUGAUUCGACUUCCAAAUCAAAUACCACAUAUUAAACUACAAAUCUAAAACAUAAAAUAUCAAAAAGCAUGAACAAUCAAGAAUCUGGAGCCACUGACAUUGCUUGUCAGACCACUAUGAAUGUUUUUGAGCAGUUUUUGAAAAACAUCAUUUUAACAUUUUGAUGCUAUGAAUCUAUUAUAGAUCAUCAUAGAUCAUCAUAAAACAUCCUUUAGCAAGAUUCUAAACACAUAUUCUAACUAAGCAUACAAGAUCAAAAUAGGUUUAGGGUUUUAUACCUUCUAGUCAAAUCUUUGAUCUUUGUUCUCCAAAUCUGAUCUAGGUGUUCUAAGAGGUUAAAGAGUGACUGAAUUACUUGUUAAAUUCGGAGGUUGAGUGAGAGAGAGAGAGUGAGUUGAGUGUUGGAGUGCAAAUGACCAACUUUGUGGACUUUCUCUCUCUCAAAUCUAUAUAUAUUUAGAUGCAAUGUAUAGAUCUGAUGAAUUGGACUGAUUUUGCUGGAAUUAAUAAGUCACAAAGUCAAAUUAGUCGGUGAACAACUAAAGGUCUUGGAAAAUUCUACAAGUCACCAAUUAAAGAAAUGGAAAAAAGGCAUUUUGGAAAUUUACAAUAUAAUUUUAAUGGCAUUCUUGACUUUUGUCCAAACCCUUAGGGUUAAACCCUAAGGUUUUAACCCUUUAGGUUUUUACAACUUUAGUUUCUAGAAUUUUUUAAUUAGGGUUUUAAUUAGAAAAUUAAGAUUUCAAAUUUAUAAUUAGGGUUUCCUAAUUAAAUUAGGGUUUUCUAAUCAUAUUAAAGUUUUAUAAUCACAUUAGGGCUUGUUAAUUAGGAUUAGGGUUUCCUAAUUAGGGUUUAAGAUUCCCAAAUUUAAAAUUAGGGUUUCCCGGCAUAUGAUUAGGGUUCCUAACUGUGCGUUAGGGUUUCUAAACUUGACAUUAGGGUUUCUAACCCCUUAUUAGGGUUUAUAAAUUUUAAACCUUAUCCGAUCAAUCAUUGAUCAAAAAUUCUAAACACGUACUCAUCAAUACAAUAAUUUUAAUUGUAUUUUCUAUCGAAUCCCUAUCCGGACUUAGGGUUAGAGUUUCUAUUCUCUAUUAAGCAUAACUUUACUCUUAUUUCUCAGUCAAUACACAAAUUGACUAUAUCACAAGACUCAAAUCACAGAUACACAGUACAAUAUUAACAGUCAAUAUCAAUAUUAAAUAAAAAAAAAUUAUUCGUAAAAUUUUGUAUUAUUUGAAAUCCCGGGUUAUCACAGUAAUAGUUAUAACAAACAGUGGCAGAAGAUCAAUGAAUCAAAAUCAUAGUAACAUUAGUAGUAAAGAACAAAAUUGAAGGUCAGAUCUGGCGACAAUUAGAUCAGAUCGAGUACAAUUUUUGCUGACAAACGACAUAUAUUACGCGAUAGAGAGAUUAUAAGAUUGCAUUAUUAGAUCUUCCAAAGAUUCACUUAUCCUUCACCUGAUUAGGCACUAAUUAAGGUGACAUCUUUGGAUUUGAAUUGAUAUGUUUGUAGAUAAAUCCCUGCAUAAAAAUAUUUCACAAACACAACAAUAUUUCACAAGUAAAUAGAGGCAAAUGAACAAGGUCAAAAUUAUAGAAGGAAGAUAAUGGCAAUAAAAUUGAAUUUUGAUAAAGUAACAACUGCUCUCCAAAUAGCUUUAUGUGAAAAACACUUCGGCAUGGGAUAUGAUAUGGAAUGAAUUUUAGUAACAUAUAUCUUGUGUAUCUUGUGUAUGAGUCAUCAAAGAUUAACAGUUUUGAUGAGUCAUAACUAAAUACCCAAGUUACUACAAUAACUUAAUUUUUCAAAUUUAAAAUUCAUUCCUCGAUAGAUUUUCAAUUCAAGAUGGAGGUGAAACAUAAAUAGCGAAGUUGAUGAUUUAAGGUUAACAAGUUAUGUUUUAAAAUGACAAGUCAAUAGACUAGUUGUCAAACCCUACCCACCCCAAAGUGAAGAUCCUUACCCCAAAGUGAAGAUCCUUGCAAGCCAAUGAUAAAACUUCUGGACAUUCAUAAAUUUGAGAGAGAUAAAGAAUGAUUCAAUCCAUUCCAAUACCAACCAAACACAAUUUUUUCCAUUCCAUUCCUACCUUCAUUACUCCAAACAUAACAUAAAAGUUUUGAAUAAAGUGCUAUAUACAUUGAACUUCAAAUUAAUGGUAUAAAUGUUUAUUCAUCCCCCAAAUAUUAUUAAUACAGGAUUAAAGAGACGACACCAAAAUUACAACAAAACUUCAAAAUUCUGAAAUACACCAGCACUCAAAUAAGCAAUAGGCUCAAAGCUGGUUUGGAGGUUUUUGGAGUCCAAAUGGGGAAUUAGUUAUCUUCAUCAGAGUCGAAAGAUUGUUUGUUGUCUAAACGAAGGAGAAAAGUGAUUUAUAUAAACUGAACUUUUGUUCUUACUGUUAGAGUUUAUGCCCUAGAGGCCAAUUAUUUGAUAUAAUUGCUUAACGUUUUGAUAUUAUAUUUGAUUGAAUAAAUAUAUGAUUUUAUUAUGGUUUUAUUUACUGCGUAAUAUAAUUGUUAACAUAAUAAAAUUCCUUAGAAUAGUGAUACAAAUUAUAUAGUUUCAAGUAUGUGACUUGAACAUGAGAUUAUAUAUUACCAUUAGUAUCAGUGUUCUUAAAUGUCCCUAGUCGAGUAUCAUUGUUGAUGGGACAACAAUGAUGCAUUGAGACUAGUAUGUGGAUUGACUGAUGACCAAAUCUCAUUGGUCAUAAAUAUAUGAGAUAUUAAGUCAAUGCAUAGGUACAUGUUAGAGAACGAUGUACUGGACAGACCCACCAUGAGAAUUCUAUAUGGAGCAUUAUGCGAAGUGUCAUUAGCAAUUCUCAUAGUGACAAUGAUGUAAUGGUCCUCCGACCUGAAAUCGCUAUAUUACUACACGAGAAUUUAUGUACUUUGAUAUCAUCAAAUGUCACCUUUAAUAGGGUGGACUAUAAAGGUGAUUAUUGGGUUCAUCAUUAAUCGUGUGAGAAAUAUGAGUGAUCUAGAUGGAAUUUAACCAUCCUAUAUAUUAUGGGUGAUAUCCAUAGGCCUCUUGAUUGAGUAGGACUAUGAAAUGCAUGGCCAUGCUCAAAUAGUGAUUUGUUUCAUAUAGUCUACUCAUUGAUCAAGAAAACUCAGAUUAAAUUAUGAAGAGUAUGACACAUUCCAUGACUCGAGUUUAAUCUAGGAUAUUAAGGUUAAAAGGAUUAAAUUACAUUGAAACAUUGGUCACGAAAAGGUUGCAUCGAAUCAUCGAUCUUAUUAUUACUUGGGUAGCAGUGAUGCAUUACUAGAUGCCGCUCACUGUUUAUAAUUUUAUAAUAUGAUUUUAAAAUUAUUGCCAACGUAAUAAUAACCUAUAGGGUCACACACAUAGAACGUUAUUUAAAAGGGAAUUAAUUUAAAUUUUAAGGAUUUAAAUAUAUUAAUAUGAUUAAUAGUAUUUAAAUCACGAAUUUAAAUUAAAAGGAUAAUUUGUAUAUAUGUAUAUUAAUUAAGUAAGACUUAAUUAAGAGAUAUAUAUAUAUAUAUAUAUAUAUAUAUAAAUUCGGAUUUUAUAAAAUUAGGUUUUGAUUUGAUUAAUUCCUUUUAACUACUAUAUAUAUGAUAUAUAGCAGCUACUUAGGGUAAGAUAUCAUAAUUGAAAAACCCUAGCCGCUCUUAGAGAGAGACUAGAGAGAAAACAGUUUCAGAAAAUCCAUUCCUUUUGGUGGCUAGUACCGCAAGUCCUUCUUAUUGCAGAAUCGUUCGACGGUUCGUGCGGCGUUCGUGUGGAUACCGUAGAGGCGCAAUCGGUUUGUAUUGCGUUGGAGAUUCGAGGCGCAGUCGGUUUCAGAUUCUCGUUUUUUUUUUUAUAUCUGGUAUAAUCUCUAAACCUCUGAAUUAAUUGAUUUUCGCAUGGAUCCUGUUUUAGGGUUUCAGAAAUUGCUUUCAAAUUUUAAUUUCCGCUGUGCGUUUCUGUGCCGAAGCCCAACACUUACUAUUUCUCUCUUGAUUAUAAAAGUGAUUACAAACAUUGGUAUUUAUAGGAUUACAAGAGCAUUCUAGAAUACUUAGCUUAGAAGAAUAAAACUCUAGAGAUUUUUAAUAACCAUUGAUAUACCCAAUACAAAAUAUUAAAUGUUUCAACAUUUUUUUAGAGAUAUUCAAAGAACCAAAUUAAACUAUGAAUGUAGAAAAUCAAGAAUUUGGUUUAGUUUCCCAACAAUGCCUCGCAUAAACCAAAUUUACUUUUUAUUCCCAAACUUGCAACAUUUCUCUUGAAGACUUCUCUACUUAAAGGCUUUGUGAAAAUAUCUGCUAACUGAUCUUCUGUCCUGCAAUACUCCACUUGAAUAAUGCCUUCUUUUACUAACUCUCUUAAGAAAUGAAAUCGAAUACUAAUAUGUUUUGUUCUUCCAUGAAGUACUGGAUCAUUUGUUACUGAAAUGGUUGAACUAUUGUCACAAAAUAGUGUUGUUGGACAAAUCUUCUUAUGCUUCAGACAUUCCAAAAUUCCUUGGAGCCAAACAAUUUGACAUCCUGCUAGAGAAGCAACGAUAUAUUCAGAUUCUGUUGUAGAAAGAGCAACAACAUAUUGUUUCUUUAAACAUCAUGAAAUUGGGCCACUUCCAAGACUAAAAACAUAGCCUGAAGUGCUUUUACUAUCAUCAACGCUUCCUGCUAAGUCACUGUCAGUAUAUCCCACAAGAUUAAUCAGAAUACUAGCUUGAUAAAAAAUACCAUAAUCAACGGUUCCUUUGACAUAUCAUAGAAUUCUUUUUGCAGUCUCCCAAUGAUUAGAGUAUGGUUUCUCCAUGAACCUACUCACUAAACUUACUGCAAAUAUGAUAUUUGGUCUUGUUGCAUUCAAGUACAUCAAAUUUCCCACCAAACUUCGAAACAUAGUAGAAUUCACAAGCAUGCCUUCACCUUCUUUACUUAAUUUUAACCCUGUGAUACAUGGAGUUGAUACAGGAUUUGCAUUCUCCAUUCUGAAUUUCUUUACAAUUUCUUUUGCAUAACUUUCUUGUGAAAUGAAAAUUCCUUUCUUGUUUUGAUGAACUUCAAUGCCAAGAAAAUGAUGCAACUUUCCCAAGUCUGUCAUUUCAAAUUCUUUCAUCAUGGAGUCUUUAAAAUCUUUCAACACUUCAAAUUAUUUCUUGUAAAAAUGAGAUCAUUAACAUAAAGACUUACAACUAUGAAGCUUUCUUGUGAUGUGCCUUUGAUGUAGAGAGUGGGCUCGUACGGACAUUUCCAAAAACCAUUUGUUCAAAGUAUGAAUUGAUUCGGCUAUACCAAGCCCUUGGUGAUUGUUUCAGUCCAUAAAGCACCUUCUUCAAUUUGUAAACUUUGUUUUCUUCUCCCUUCUUCACAAAACCAGGUGGUUGCUCAACAUAAACUUCUUCUUCCAAAAAACCAUUCAAAAAUGCAGAUUUCACAUCCAUUUAAAAUAUACUCCAAUUAUUUUGAGCUGCAAGUGAGAUAAGCAAACGAACAGUGUCAAGUCUAGAAACUGGAGCGAAUACCUUAGUGAAGUCUUCUCCUUCCUUUUGCUUAUACCCCUUUGCUACUAGUCUCGCCUUGUUUUGGUUGAUGGAGCCAUCUGAAUUCAUUUUUGUUUUAUAUACCCACUUUACGCCAAUAGAAAUCUUGUUUGGAGGCAGAUUUGUAAGCUCCCACGUUUCAUUCUUCUCAAUGGCUUUCAUUUCUUCUUUCAUGGCUUGUUUCCACUUUUCUUCUUUUGAUGCUUCAUCAUAAGAAAUUGGAUCUUCUCCUGCAAAGAAAGCAAAAAAUAUAGUAUCAUUUGAAUCAAUAUGCUCGGUUGACUCAUAAAUUUCUCUUAAGCUCUUUGUUCUUCUUUGAGGAGUACUUUGAGGGGACUCAGGAGAGUUUCCACGAUAAGAGUAUCUUGGAGAAAUAGGUUCGCUUUCAUCUUAAGAAUCAUCAUUAGUAUCACAAAAACUUGGCCAAUUUUCAGGAAAAUCAACUCCUGAAUUAAAUGAAGAAUUUUCAUCAAAUCGAACAUCCCGACUAAUCACUAUCUUCUGUGUCACUGGAUUGUACAACUUGUAAGCUUUGCUUCUUUCACUGUAGCCGAUAAAAAUACACUUUUCUGCUUUAUCAUCCAAUUUGUUCCUCAAUGCAUCCAGAAUGUGUGCAUAAGCAACAUAUCCAAAAGUACUCAGGUGACUAACCUUUGGCUUCAAUCCAAACCAUGCUUCAUGAGGUGUGCAAUUAUUCAGACUUUUUGUAGGAGACCUGUUAAUCAAGUAAACAGUACAAGAUACAGCUUCUGCCCAAAACUCUUUAUCUAGCAUUUUCAUUUUCAGCAUGCAUCUUGCCAUUUCCAUGAUGGUUCAAUUUUUUCUUUCACUAACACCAUUUUGUUGUGGUGAAUACCUUACUGUCAAUUCAUGCCUAAUUCCAUCAUUUUUGCAAUACUUCUCAAUUGGAAGAUAUUCACGACCUCUGUCGGUUCUUAUUGUUUUAAUUUGACAACCAGAAAAUUUUUCAGUUUCAGCUUUGAAUUCCUUAAAAGCUUGAAAUGAUUCAGAUUUUUCUUUGAGAAAAUAAACCCAAACUUUUUUCGAGAAAUCAUCAACAAAGGUAAUAAAAUUUUGUUACCUCCAUGAAAAGUAACCGGCAUUGGUCCACAUAAAUCUGAAUGAACUAGUUCCAACACCCUUUUUAAUCUCGACAAAGAUUUUUGAGGAAACGGUUCUCUAUGUUGUUUUCCAAGUUGACAUGCUUCACAAAUCUGAUUUGUUUGAUUAAUUUGAGGAAGUCCUUCAACCAUCUUCUUUGCUGCUAGCGAUUUUAGGCUGUCAUAAUUUAAAUGACCAUACCUGUCAUGCCAUAACUUGGAAAUUCCUUUAUCAAUAGUAGUGAAACAAGAAAUGUUAGCAACCUGAAGUUUUAUAGGAAAAAGAUUAUUUGAAGUUACUCCAAUUGUUGCUAUCAGCUGAUUUCUCUUCGACAAAAAACAAGCAUUAUCAUGAAAAUGAAUAUCAAACCCCUUUUUCAAAAGUGACCGGUGCUAAGCAAAUUAUUUUUUAAACCAGGAACAUAAUAAACUUCAGACAUCUUUUCCAUUUUUCCAGAUUUUGUUUGAAAAAUAACUUCACCAACACCUUGAAUUUUGUAGGCUCUGUCAUCUCCAAUUUUUACCUGUCCAUGGUUAGAUUCAACCAAGUCUGAAAAUAAGUCCUUGUUUUCGGUCAUAUGUUUGCUUGCACCACUGUCUAAAUACCAAACAGCAUCCUUAUCAUCACCUUGAAAUGCCAGCAACAAAGUAUCUUGUACAUCUUUUUCAUCAGUUUUGUUUUCAUGCAUCAAUCCGGUCUCAUUUUGUGUUCCCUCCGUUCUAAACGACAUUUCUUAUAUGUAUGACCAGGUCUAUGACAAUGGUAACAUUCAAAAUAGCCACGAUCUCUUCCUCUUUGAUAGCCACUUCCUCUUUGAUAAUCACGACCUCUUCCUCUUUGGAAGUUUUUGAUCAUAUUUUCUCCACCUUCAUUUGAAUCAUUUUUGUUUACAUAACCUCUUCCUCUGCCUUGAAAAUGAAAGUCUUUACCUCUGAAGUUGCCAUUACCACCACGACCACGACCAUAGUGAAAACCACGACCUCCCAUAAAUUAAACAAGAGCUUGAUCAGGAAGAGGAGAAGGAUUUCUUUGAUUUAUUCUUACUUCAUGAGCCUUCAAGGUCCCUUGCAAAUCUUGAAUAGUAAGAGAUGAUAGAUCUUUUGAUUCUUCAAUAGCUACCACAGCAUAAUCAAAUUUUGGUGAUAAACUACGAAGAAUUUUUGCAACAACUUUCUCAUCAUCUAAAACUUCACCAUUGGAUGCCAUUUGAUUUACAACUGAAUUAACUCUUGUAAAAUAAUCUGAAAUACUUUCAUUCUCCUUCAUUUCUAAUUUUUCAAAUUCUGUUCUUAAGGUUUGGAGGCGUACCUUUUUUACCUUUUCCACACCUUUGUAUGUAAUUUGAAUAAUCUCCCAGACUUCCUUUGAACUUUUAGCUUUAGCAACUCUUUCAUACAUCGGCAUCUCAAUUGUUUGAUAAAUUUGGAAACGCGUCUUGCUGUCCUUCUUUCGAUUUUCUUUCAAAUUAUUUUUCUGUGCAUAUGUCAAAGCAUCCUCAUUUUCUGUAUCAUCAUAUCCUUCAUCCACAAUAUUCCAUAGAUCCAUUGACUUGAGCAAUAACAUCAUAUUGUCUCUCCAAUAAUCAUAAUUUUCUUCACCAAAUCGAAGGAUAAGUGAAAUCAUGUUAUUGGAAUUCGCCAUCUCUUUAAUGCUUCAUAGCCCGCUUUUUCUUCUCUACUACGAAUCUGUUAAGCUAUUGCUCUGCUUUUUUACUUGUGAUAAAAAAAUUAUGCUUGGAGACAGUACCUCUUAUUAUAACGUAGGACUCGCCACUUAAUUAUAUGAAUAACAAAACUUGUUCCUUUAAAAUAAAGCUUCAAAAAUUUUCAGAAUAAUAACCCUUGCUGCACCGUACAAUAAAAUACUUGGCUGUUUGUGAUAUGGUCACCCUGAAGCUGCUGGUCACGUGGCUCUUUGACUACCCAAAUGUAGUGCAGUGCUAGAAAAUCACUUGCUCACUUUAGUACUCCAUCUGCUGCUGUUGUAAUGCGUCCGACUUUUGAUACUAAGACACGUUAUCACUUUGAUUGGGAGAAUGGACUUAGCAAUUUACCAAGCUCUGAUACCAAUUUGUAGUCUAAACGAAGGAGAAAAGUGAUUUAUAUAAACUGAACUUUUGUUCUUACUAUUUUUCUCUUGAUUAUAAAAGUGAUUAUAACUAUUGGUAUUUAUAGGAUUACAAGAAUAUUCUACUUAGCUUAGAAGAAUAAAACUCUAGAGAUUUCUAAUAACCAUUGAUAUACCCAAUACAAAAUAUUAGAUGUUUUAACAUUUGUUUAAAGAUAUUCAAAGAACCAAAUUAAACUAUGAAUGUAGAAAACCAAGAAUUUGGUUUAGCUUUCCAACAUUGUCAUUUUCUCAAAGAUUCAAUUACAGCCGGUGGCUUUUUACCUUUGACAGAUGUUCCUCCCAUGGAAGUUUUGAGCUUGGGCACACUCGUGGCACUGAGCGGCGGCGUGGAUGCACCUCGAUUCACUUCCCUGAGCACAGAUGGAGCUGUGACCUCAGCCACUGCAUUUGCCACAGCUGAAGCCACUUUUGAAUUGGUUUUCUGCUUCUCACUGAAUUUCUUCCGCAUGGUACUUCCAUUCACAACCUUGGGAUCGCCUGGUGAACGAUAUGUGUCUGGUUUUUGCAUGGUAGCAACAGCAUCAGCAGCUGUUGAGUUAACCUUGAUUGACUCGUACUUUUGAAUGUCAUAAACGAGCGCUUUCUGGAGCUGCUUAUCAGCCACCAAAAUAUCGUCAAUCUCAUUCUUGUAGUCCUUGAGGAUGGCUCGGAGGCAUUCCAUAAGGGAACCGAUGAGUGGGCUAUUCUUGCUCUCUAGGAGCCGUUUCAACUAUAUAAAGAUGGGAAUGGUGUUUUGGACUAGGCCCUUUCUGUCAGCUUGAGUUAUUACCCUUCCUCUGACAGCAGCUGCAGCUGCUCCUCCACUGUCUCCGCCUUCUUCAUCCAUGUCUGCUGAGUCAGAUGAUGUUCCACGGUUGGAUGGUAUUCUGAUCUCUUUGCAGGAGAAAAUUUGGAAGGCAUCCUAUUUCAUAAAUUACAAAAGACAAUUGUACAUGAAAGAUAUAUCAACCUACAAAUACAUUAACUAAUAACUAACGUUCUCUGUGCUACCGAACUGAGGAAGAAUUAAAUCAGAGGCAAGCAAGUGAAUAUUACAAGCUAAGCCCAAGAAUCAGCUUCAGUGAUUUUUUUUUUUUUGUUUUUUGGGUGGUUGUUGCAGACACCAUCUAUCAAUUAUCAGAAUGCACCACAUCCAAGAGGAUGCUGGCACCAUAUUAUGGUUUAUGUAAUACGAACAAACUAUUUGUGGAUGUAUUACGUGUGUAUGAGACAGAUAGAGGGAGAGAGGAACUGCAGAACAGACUGCCCAGUAGCAUCCUCUAUUUUGAGCAGACCAUCUGAAGCUGCAGCAAGAAUCUCCGCACAUACUUUUGCGAAUGUAGCUAGAAGGUGCUCUGGAGCCAUUUGUUUCAGCAAGGAAAUAUAUAUGUGCAUUCUCUCAGACCUCGACUUCUCAUCAUUACCUCUGUUAAAAUAAAAUAACUGUUAUCAGCUUAAAAGCUCAGUAUGACAUCUUUAUGGCAACUUUAAAGCAGCUACAAAACUUUGACAACUAUAACUUACCUAAUGGAGAAAAGUCGGCUUUCACUUCUGGAACUUUGAGAAUUGCUAUGUCCAGUAUGGGCAUUGCAGUCGUUAAGAACAAAAAUUGCUUCCACAAAACUGUUAUAAGCUAACAGUGGUGCCUUGGCUGCAAAUACAUUACAAAUGAAGUCAAUUUGAUGGUGUAUAUAGAUAUUCACUUCCAGAAGAAUGCAAAUGAUGGCUAGUGAAAGCAUUAUGACCUUUUAAGAUAUUUCCAAAUAGGAAAUCAGCUAGACGUCUUAUUUUCUCCGAUUCAUCCACGAGUGUUACUAGAAACCGAAGAAAAAGAACUCCUCUCCACUUCACGUAGUCUCUCUGAAAUGCAACUACAAAGUCAAACAAAGCCCUCUGAUAUUCAAAAAUGGAAAAAUGUAAAAGGGUCUUGAGUAACAAAAAGUAAACCUGUAACAAUCUGGAGAGUAGUAUAAAAGUCUGCCUUCGAACAAGUUCACAAGGAUCGCGAAGACAUUUUGUAAUUUUUGAUAUAUGACUGUUGAAAUUCACCGACAAAGUAAGACUAUUUGUAAUGAACUAGCUUAAUUAGUUCAAUACCUUAGCAACUGUAAUGGAACAAGUCUCAAUAAUUGGACCUAUCCAGUGAAUUUUGACAGAGAAAUAGAAUAAGGAAGAGGGGGAAAGAGAGGAUAAUAGAGAGAGAAGAGAGAAUUGGGGAAGAAGCAAUAACAGAUUUUAUUCAUAAUUUUCCAUACAUCACUAUUGAGCAGAUUAUAUCACACCCAAUUGGUUAGCUAGCUCAGCGCAUGCUUUCCUCACUCACUCGACUGAAACAGAAAUAAGGAACAAAAAGACAGAAGUAAUCUUUCUGAACAAAAGACACUAAUAACCUGACUUGGGAAGAGAAAAAGACUGUGAUACCCUUAUUAACUAAUUAACUAACUGCAGCAUCCUAGCAACAGACUCUUCCUCCAUCCUUACAGUCCCUCCCUCUUAAAAAGAUCCUUGUCCCCAAUGAUGGAAAUGAGGAAAUUUCAGGUGAAGCUGGUCCCAAUCUUCCCAGGUGGCUUCGGAUGGUAGAGAGUUUUCCCAUUGCACCAACAGUUCAACACUAGCUGCAUUGUUUUUCUUAAUCAGCCUCUUGUCAAGUAUUGCCAGAGGUUCUGCUAGGAAAUGACCAUUUGCAUCCGCAGGAGGCAAAGAAGGAGAAGAAGUGCAACCGGAGGCAAAGAAGGAGAAGAAGUGCAACGCUGACCAAUCUUCUUUUUGAGCAGUGAUACAUGGAAAAUAGGGUGAACCUUAGUGUGGCCUGGCAGCUGCAAUUUAUAAGCCACAGCUCACACCUUGGCUUCAACCAUGAAUGGUCCAUAAUACUUAGGAGUUAGCUUUCCAAAAGGGGUCUGAGCAAGGGUGACCUGUCUGUAAGGCCUGACCUUCAAAUAAACCAUGUCCCCUGGUACAAAUGUUCGUUCAGAUCUAUUCCGGUCAGCAUAAUACUUGAUCCUUGACUAAGCUUCCACCAGGUUUUGCUUAAGCAUUCUGAGCAGUUGGGACUUGUCUCUGCAAAACUGCCUAGUAUUAGGGUCAUGUACCCUUCCCCACUGAUGGAAAGACAAAUGGGAAGGCUUAUACCCAUACAACAUUUCAAAUGGGGAAGCUUGUAAACCAUUGUGGAAAUGGGAGUUAUACCACCACUCAACUAAGUCCAACCAAGCAGUCCAGCCGUGUGGCUUUUGGGAUACCAUACACCUAAGAUAGCAUUCUAGAAUUUGGUUGAUCCUUUCAGUUUGACCAUCGGUUUGGGGAUGGUAAGCUGUACUCAUUUGCAGUUUAGUACCCACCAGUUUGAAUAGGGAUUGCCAAAAGAGGCUAAUGAAGAUUUUGUCUCUGUCAGAGACUAUAGAAGAAGGUAGGCCAUGUAGUUUGUAUAUGUGAGUAAUGAACAGCUGGGCUAGAUGAGCAGCAGUGAAAGGGUGUUUGAGAGGAAUAAUAUGGCUAUAUUUAGCAAGUCUAUCCACCACUACCCAAAUGACUGUCAUACCAGCAGAACUAGGCAGACCUUCUAUGAAGUCCAUGGUGAUAUCAGUCCAGGGAGUAUCUGGAACUGGAAGAGGCUGGAGCAAACCUGGAGCAAGAACAUUUUCAUGUUGUUGCUGGCAUACAUCACAUUCUUUAACAAAAUCAGUUACAUCUUGCCUUAAUGUUGGCCACCAGAAAUAUUGAUUAAUUCGUUCAUAGGUACCCCUUAUCCCAGAAUGUCCACCAAUAGGAGAGCUAUGGAACUCCUAUAAGAACUUCCUCCUUAGAUCAGAAUCUGGCCCCAACACCAAUCUAUUCUGGAACUUUAGUCUACCACUGUUAAAAGAGUAUCCAGGUAAGCUACUGGGGUCCAUUUGUAGUUGCAGUAUAAGCUCCUUAAGUCCUUCAUCUUUCUCCCAAGAGUGAGAAAUCUCCUGGACCCAGCUUGGUAUUGUUGUUGUAACCAGAUUGAGCUCACCAACUUCUUCAGUUUUGUCCAAUUGAAAAGGAACCUCCCUAGACAAACUGUCAGCCACUACAUUUUUUUUCCCUUUCUAUAAAUUAUCUCAUAAUCCAACCCUAUAAGUUUUGUGAUCCAUUUUUUUUGAUUGGUUGUUGUAAUCCUUUGGUCUAAUAGAUACUUUAAACUCUGGUGGUCUGUCUUGAUGAGGACUUUGUUCCCUAACAGGUAAUGCCUCCAUUUAUUUACUUCAUGAAUGUCAUAGUGGGAGGCAUCGGUUUCCAAUACAAAAGCUUCAUUAAAAUUAGGCAUGGUAAGGACUGAGGCUUAUGUCAUAGCUUCCUUAAGAGCCAUGAAUGCUUCAGUUGCCUGGUCAGACCAUUUGAAGCUAUCUUUCCUGAGUAAAUUAGUAAGGGGCCUGCUUAUCAACCCAUAAUUCCUGAUGAACCUCCUAUACCUCCUGUAGUAGCCAGUUAGGCCUAGAAAUCCCCUCAACCCUUUUAUAUUCUUAGGCACAGGCCAUUCCAUCAUGCAUUUAAUUUUAUCUGGAUCAGUUGCCACCCCUUGUGGAGAUAUGAUGUGGCCUAAGUAUUGAAUAGAAUCUGUCCCGAAAACACAUUUACUCCUUUUGGCAAAAAGUUUGUAAUCUUGUAGCAGUUUGAGGGUCAGUCUUAAGUGUUACAAUUGUUCAUCAUAAUCCUUACUAUAAACUAGUAUAUCGUCAAAAAGACGAGGACAAAUUUUCUGAGGAAAUGCUGGAAUACCUGGUUCAUUAGUGACUGGAAUGUGGCAGGAGCAUUUGUGAGCCCAAAAGGCAUCACCAAGAAUUCAAAAUGGCCAUUAUGAGUCCUAAAAGAAAUUUUUUGUAUGCCAUCUUUAUGUACCUUGAUUUGAUGGUAUCCGGAUCUUAAAUCAAGCUUGGAAAACCACCUAGAGCCAUGUAACUCAUCCAGCAACUCAUCAAUGGCAGGUAUAGGGAACCUAUCCUUGAUGGUCAUAGGAUUUAGAGACCUGUAAUCAACACACAACCUCCAUGUUUCAUCUUGUUUUUUGACUAAAAGAACUGGAAAAGCAUAUGGGCUAUUGCUUGGUUGAAUUACACCAUUCUGUAGCAUCUCCUGCACAAUCUUCUCUAUUUCCUCCUUCUGAACAUAGGGGUACCUAUAGGGCCUGAGACUGACUGGUUGACUAUCCUCCUUAAGCUUUAUGUGAUGGUCAUGGGUCCUCCUAGGUGGAAGACCCUUUGGUUCCUGAAAUACCUCCUGGAAAUCCUGAAAUAACCCUUGCAUCUUAGGACAGGUUUCAGCCAACUAGACUAUUUUGGAUCCCUUCUGCUAGGGCUGUUAUGGCUAUCUGUUCCUUCCUGGACCUUGUCCUCCUCUGGAUGUAUCCCAAAUAAAUACCCAAAAUAACCAUGGGUAGCAGAUUGUAAUGUUUGGCUGAACUCCCCAUAAUUCAUCAUUUAAAUGGUAGGUGUCACAUGGUCAGAUUCACCUUGUAAGACAAUAGUUUUCCCUUUUCUGGUAAUAGUCAGUUGUAGGUUCUGGAAGUCGAAGGUUAUCGGAUUGAAGAGCUUCAACCAUUGUACACCUAGGACAGCAUCUAUUCCCCCCAGAGGCAGUAUUCUAAAGUCAGUAUUGAACUCUUCCCCUUGAAUGGACCAAUGCAAUUGAGGACAAAACUGACUACUAUUCACCUUGAACCCAUCUGCUACAGUUACUGUCAAGUUACUGCUGCCAUUUAUACCAGCCUUGAUUGCUUUGGCUGCUUGAGGAUCCAAAAAAUUGUGGGUGCUGCCACUAUCCACCAGAAUUCUCAGGAAUUUACCAUUGGCCAUUCCCAACAGCAUGACUGUGUUAUUAGUGCUGUGACCCGAGAGAGCAUGCAAUGUGAUUUGGGCUUCAGGUUCCUCACAACUAACAGUCCUUAUUUCCUCCUCUGUACACUCGGCUUUUUCAGAUUCCUCCAAUGCAUCCUGGUCAGAGGGAAGUAACAUGAACAACUGGGGUCUUUUGCAUACAUGUCCCUGAACAUAGGGCUCAUCACAGGAGAAACAUAUCUUCCUUCUCCACUUAUCAUUCAUCUGUUCCCUAGUGAAUCCCUUUAUUGGCAAGGACCUCAUAUUGUCAACCUGGUUCAUUUCUGCAGGUUUGGCCUGAGGAAGGGAAACAACUGCAGGUUUUGGGGAAAAAAGGGUAGAGAUAGUUUUAGGAGUAAAAACAUUUGCAGACAUUCUGUUGACCCCCCUACUUCUCUUAAGCCAUGCUUCUAAUUUGGCUUCUUCAACCCUUGAUAAUCUGAUUAACUCCUUAAGGUCCCUUGGUUUAAGCUCCUGCACCCCCAAUUGGAUUUCCACCUUUAAUCCACCCAGGAAACAGUCCAUGAAGAAGGCCUCAUUAAGAGAGGGAUUCCUAGCCAAUGCCCAUCCUUUCAACUCCUCAGAUUUGCUUCUAUACUCAUCGACUGUGUCAUUCUGCUGCAACUUUUUCAACUCUCCAAUAGGAUUUUCACUUGCUUCAGGACUAACCUGGCAAAUAUCUCCUCCACUAAACCAGCCCAUGUUAGUUCCUGACCAUGUUGUACAAACCCAGAGUACCAAGCUUCAGCCUCUCCUUCCAGAUUCAUAGUACUUAGGUAAAUUUUCUGGUGCUCAGGCACCACAUGAUGAGCAAACAGCUUAUUGCAUCUUCUAACCCAUGAUCUAGGAUUAAUUCCAUCAAAUUUUGGGAAUUCAAACUUGAUGGUUCUGAAGAUAUCAUCAAAUUUAUCUCCCUUAAGAGCAUUUUCAUAGGGUCCCAGAACAGAAAUAGAUGAAGGACCCUGGUUACCUAUGUUAUUUGGGUCCGACUGCUGCCUCUGAAUAUUCAGGAGGGUAUCGAAAUUCUUCAUCAUCUGCUCCAUUUUUGAAUCAAACCCCUGCUGCAUCGUUGAUACCGAACCCAACUGUGCUUGCAGCUCUUGAACCUGCGUCUCUAAGUUGCUCAGUCGCUGAUUGUUUGUAGCCAUAAUCCACAGUUUCGCCUGGCUCUGAUACCAACUGUAAUGAACUAGCUUAAUUAGUUCAAUACCUUAGCAACUGUAAUGGGACAAGUCUCAAUAAUUGGACUUAUCCAGUGAAUUUUGACAGAGAAAUAGAGUAAGGAAGAGGGGAAAAGAGAGGAUAAUAGAGAGAGAAGAGAGAAUUGGGGAAGAAGUAAAAACAGAUUUCAUUCAUAAUUUUCCAUACAUCACUAUUGAGCAGAUUAUAUCACACCCAAUUGGUUAGCUAGCUCAGCGCAUGCUUUCCUCACUCACUCAACUGAAACAGAAAUAAGGAACAAAAAGACAGAAGUAACCUUUCUGAACAAAAGACACUAAUAACCUGACUUGGGAAGAGAAAAAGACUGUGAUACCCUUAUUAACUAAUUAACUAACUGCAGCAUCCUAGCAACAGACUCUUCCUCUAUCCUUACACUAUUAAAGAGAGAAAUUCAAAUCUUGUUCUGACCUACAGCAAUAAGAGCCCUUACCUAACAACCAGAGCAGUAUACCGCACACAAAAAUCCAUCAUCACUACAACAAUAUUAUUGCGAAGUGGUGCAGAGUCACUCUUUUCAAGUUCUUGCAGCAAUACAUACAUAAGAAAUUGUUACUCAGAAAUUAGCCAAAACUAUUAAUUGACAACCAAUAAAUUUAGCUCUUUUAAAUUAUUGGGGAAAAAAAGAUAGCACUUAAAAGCUUAUACUAUUCAUGAAUGUUAGUAAAUUAAUAUUAUGUGGAUAGAUUUAUUUUUAUGAAUUAUAGAUAUUCCAUCAUGAGAUCGUGACCUUUUAGAUUUUUUAUUCUUGAUUCUCGCAUGACAUAUAUAUAAUUAAGAAAAAGUAUGCAAUAAAUUUGUUUACAAUUAAAAUCCAUAAUAUUUCAUGCCAUGGUUGCAAUUAAUGUAAGUGUUGGGCCAUAAUACUUUAGACAUGUUGAGGUGGGUCUUGAAAGUAUUAGGUCGGUUCGUUGGGCCAGCCCAUUGGGUGGAUAUUAUCUUUAUUUUGGGGCCUAUGAAAUAUUGGGCUGUGACAGUGGGCCAGAUUACUAGAUGAGUAUGGUUCCACUUGGGCUUUGACCGGUGUAGAUUGGGGAUAGAACUUUAACUGUCAUCUUUGCAUUGCAUUUAAUGAGGAUUGGACAGGGCUUAGUCGACUAAAGGGUGUGGGCCCGGGGAAGUCAGUUGCAUACAGGACAAACCGGACUUUGGGGAUAUAAAGCAAGGAUGACACACGGUGGAAGGUAACUAAUUAAUUAUUACUCUCAAGUCACUAGAUAUUUAUUCCUCCAUUGUUAACCUUGUGAUCGCCUGUACUGACUCUCACGCCGGAGCUAUCCCCCGACGGUCAAGCCGUCAAGCUUUUGGUGUUGACUGUGUUUACUGUGCAGGAUAUCGGACGCGUCUUGGUGAUUGAGACAUGGAGGAAGAUCUUGGCGUUAACAUUGGCGCUAGAAGGAGGGUUGUGUUCUAGUGUUCUUGAAGUUUUCAAUCACAAAUUGUAGCUGCUCUACGUCGGAAUCCAUGGUGAAGAAGAGUAGAACAGUUACCUCUAAAGGAUACCUGAUGGUUAUGACUUUGUCUACACAAUGAGUAUCUGUCAAGGAUUGAUUGGGUCCUUCAAAGAGUGCUCAUGCUGGUAUUGCUUCCAAGCAGGUUUCUGAGGGUUCUCGUUCAAGAGCCCAAGGUGAUGCUAGAAGAAGAUUAAUUUUUACUGCCCAGAGAAGACCUGACCAUGGUCGAAAAAGGGUAGAAGGCAUAUUGCUUAGAAUCCUAUACCGAAAUGGUCAGACUGACAGACCGAUCAAGUUAGAAAGAAGUCUACACUUUAUGUCUCGAGGCCGUCCUCGGGAUCGAAGCAGACCCAACAGCCAUUUUCCUGAUUGAUUGACCGAGAAGGGUAUUCCGCCCUAUUGGUCUUCGGGAUUAUGGUCGAAGCAGAGUAGAUGAAGACCCAACAGCUAUUUUCCUGAUUGAUUGAUCGAGAAGGGUAUUCCGCCCUAUUGGUCUUCGAGAUUAUGGUCGAAGCAGAGUAGAUGAAGACCCAACAGCCAUUUUCCUGAUUGAUUGACCGAGAAGGGUAUUCCGCCCUAUUGGUCUUCGGGAUUAUGGUCAAAGCAGAGUAUAUGAAGACCCAACAGCCAUUUUCCUGAUUGAUUGACCGAGAAGAGUAUUCCGCCCUAUUGGUCUUCGGGAUUAUAGUCGAAGCAGAGUAGAUGAAGACCCAACAGCCAUUUUCUUGAUUGAUUGACCGAGAAGGGUAUUCCACCCUAUUGAUCUUCGGGAUUAUGGUCGAAGCAGAGUAGAUGAGGACCCAUCUCCCACUAUUGAGGAAUUUCGGGUGCCGUCCGAAGCUGCAGAUGUUAUUCGGAGGGUUCAUGUGGAUAUUUGUGUUAGCUAAAUGAUUUGAUUCCACAUCAGCCACCAAAAGGUUAUAUUCGAUUUUAUCUCCUAUACCUCUUGCUGUCUGGGGGGUAGUCGUACUGGGUCCAUUGCCUAGGGAUCAGGUUAACAGGCGCCAGCUCAUGGGAUCGAAGUUUAAAACAUUCAUGAGGGACUUCGGUAGCUCAUCCAUAGUUUGACAGGCACAGCAAAUGCCACCUCGGUGUUAGGAGGUUCGGGAGGACUCGCUGACCAUUCGAUGGUAGCCUCUUCGGCAGGUGGUCAUCUUUUGGCAUUGUCAGGCCCUUCGUGGUAGGCAAUUGUCGUCACUUAGACCUUGUCAGGCCCUUCGUGGUAGGCAAGUGUCAUCUUUUGGCAUUGUCAGGCCCUUCGUGGUAGGCAAUUGUCGUCACUUAGACCUUGUCAGGCCCUUCGUGGUAGGCAAGUGUCAUCUAUUGGCAUUGUCAGGCCCUUCGUGGUAGGCAAUUGUCGUCACUUAGACUCCGUCAGGCCCUUCGUGGUAGGCAAGUGUCAUCCUUAGGACUUCGUCAGGCCCUUCGUGGUAGGCGAAUGUCAUCUUAUGGUUUUGUCAGACUUCGUCAGGCCCUUCGUGGUAGGCGAAUGCCAUCUUAUGGUUUUGUCGGACUCCGUCAGGCCCUUCAUGGUAGGCGAAUGUCAUCUUUUGGUUUGGUUAGGCCUUUUGGGGUAAACAAAUUCCCAAUGAAGCAGAUCUGUCUCACACUUCGGUAACUAAAUAAGUAUCUCUUUACUUUAUUACCUAAACCUAAAUUUUUUCUAAGUGUCGAGUUCGGAAUGCCUCAUUCUUUGACUUGAUCUUAUCUGUUAUAUGACUUGCUUAGUUAUUGACUAAACAGUUUAAGAUUAUACAUUUUUCACGUUGAUUGAUGAUGAAUUAUUGACAAGAAAUGGUCAAAGGUGUAAUAAGGAUAAGGAUUUGUUAAUCAUCUCAUUGAUAUCUAACUGUUUACAAAGGAGAAAGGUCUUUUCAGGGAAUCCUAAAGCUUCGGAUGAUAUCUUUAAGCUUCCUUAUUGUCCUCGCUGUCUGAAGAGUCGAGGAGAGUCGGGUUCACUUUGGCCAAUACAAGUUUGGCUUUGUAUUUGCUUCAGCAAUCCUCGUAUCCUUCAAAGUACAUGUGGACAACUUCAUUGUUCAGCUCGGUGGACUUCCUGUAAUUUACUUCAAUCUCCUCGCAAAGUUAAUCAGUUAAUGGUGGGCCCAAAUCCCUAAGAAUUUGGAGUUCUCGAAGUUCCUCUUCAAGCUUUUGACGAUGGGCCAUAUGCUCUGCAUCUUUAGCUUGGAUAUCUUUAUUUUGCUUCGACAGAACUGAGUUGGAUUGGGCCAGAUCUUUGAUUUUCUUCGCCAAAAUUUCAUUUUUCUUCAGAAAAUCGAUAUUUAUAUCAGUGAUGACUUGAUGAGGGGCCCGGGACGUUUUUAAAUCUUCUUUAGUUUGGGCAAGUUCUUUCUGAAGGCACUCAUUAUCGUGAAGAGCAACUUUGAGACUACUUCUGUCUUUCAUCAAAGCAGACUUAAGCAGGGUAUUCUCUCUUCGAGCAGCUUUCUCUUCGGCUUCGGCCUCUUGGUAUUUGGGACGGAGGCGUCCGAAGACAGUGUUUGCCUGCGGAUGAUCAGUGUCCAUGAUAGAGUUGUUUCUGAACCGGUGGUUGUCGGUAUUAUGAACGAAGGAGUUGUAGAGCUCAAAUGGGAAUUUCUCUUCUGAUUCUGGCUAGAGAAGGGGGGAUUCCGGGUCUUCGGGCCUGAAGUCCUAGGAGGUUGGUUGUCUUUUUCGAGCAAGUUUGGGUGAUCGCUCCACUUGCUCUUCGGGCUCUUCGUCAGAAACAACGAUUUCAACCGGGAUGGUUGGCGGAAGAUCGGUUUCUGUUAGAAAUACUUGUGGUUCUUCGGAGGCCGGAGAAUUUGCUUGGGUUUUUUUCUUCUUGGCGCGAAGGAUUCGGGUCCGUUCGUCAGAGGGCAUAUCGAGGAGGCACUUGGUGUGAUUUUGCGUGGGGGUGUGUUUGGGUUUUCGGCCAGCUUGCUUUCUUCGGCGAGGUUGGCUUGUCCCUUCGGUAGGAGUUGAUUCGGUGGCUUGAAGCUCUUCAGUUGGUACAUCGGCAGGGGUUGGCGAAGAUGUACCAGAAAGAAAUCUGUCUAUAUCCCUUCGGUCGAUUGAUGUUGGUUUGAUCAGAGACACUGCAACAGAUGAAGAACAAUUGUUUACGAGAACUACUGAUGGAAAUUGGGAGUUAAACAAUAGAGUGGAUUCGAGACUUACAGUUAUGGUCAUACAACCAUGCUUGUUUACUCAGAAGUUCGAAGCUCCCUUCCUUAAUGUGAAUCUUCUCUAGAAGGCUCACCAUUUCUCUCACUCGUUCCGUUGAAAUAUUUCUGAAGUUUGCAGAGAUACAAUCGGAAGUGAUCCAGUUAGGCAUGGAAGAGACUUCGUGUCCUUUGACAAAAAACCACUCCUUAUGCCAUCCUUGGUUACUCGAAGGAGUGUCCAUUAGUGGUCGCCUCUCGAACCUGGCAUUAGGUUUGGAAGAUUGUUUGCUCAGAACCUUGAGAAGCCAUUGUUAGCAAUUUUCAGAGAAGGGAAAGAAAGCUUGAAGGUCCGAAAUUCAAAAUUGGCAGCAAUGAUUGUGAAUUUGAAGAGGUAGCGUGCGGUUUCGGCCUUCAUUGUUGACCGAAGUGGGCUUCUCUAUUUGGCUUCCGGUUUCUAUUUGAAUUGUUGUUUGAGAUUUACCUAUUGGACCUCGGUAAGUUGUAUCUUGGGCCUUUAUUGAUCUCAUUAUAAUUCCUUUUAUUCUGGACCGAUUCCACUUAUACUCUUUCAUUAAACCUCCUGUUUAAUAAAAGACUGGGGGGCAAUGUUGGGCCAUAAUACUUUAGACAUGUUGAGGUGGGUCUUGAAAGUAUUAGGCCGGUUCAUUGGGCCAGCCCAUUGGGUGGAUAUUAUCUUUAUUUUGGGGCCUAUGAAAUAUUGGGCUGUGACAGUGGGCCAGAUUACUAGAUGAGUAUGGUUCCACUUGGGCUUUGACCGGUGUAGAUUGGGAAUAGAACUUUGACUGUCAUCUUUGCAUUGCAUUUAAUGAGGAUUGGACAGGACUUAGUCGGCUAAAGGGUGUGGGCCCGGGGAAGUCAGUUGCAUACAGGACAAACCGGACUUUGGGGAUAUAAAGCAAGGAUGACACACGGUGGAAGGUAACUAAUUAAUUAUUACUCUCAAGUCACUAGAUAUUUAUUCCUCCAUUGUUAACCUUGUGAUCGUCUGUACUGACUCUCACGCUGGAGCUAUCCCCUGACGGUAAGCCGUCAAGCUUUUGGUGUUACUGUGUUUACUGUGCAGGAUAUCGGACGCGUCUUGGUGAUUGAGACGAGGAAGAUCUUAGCGUUAACAGUAAGGUUGCUCCUUCUUUGAAAAUUUAUCUGUAAAAUUGAAGGCAAAAGUGAUUUAGAACCAUAGCACAGAAGUAAUGCUAAAUACAAACCACACCUCCACAAACAGAGGAAUGUAACGCUUUGCAAGUUUCCCAUCAGCAAGGCAGAUCUUGCCCAUUGCUAGCCAAGCUUGAAUGUACAAAGAAGGUGCUGUCUGCUUUAUAGAUAUUGCUGGCCUCAGUAAUUUAUCAAAUUUUGGGUCAGAACUUCCUGAAGUGAUAAUUCUGUGUAAAACUGGAACAAUGGCUUUUAAGUUGGCUGAAGGACAAAUAAUAACCAAUGAUCCAAUAGUAUAAACAGCAGUAAUUGCUUGCGACAAUAAUCUAGACAUGGUUGCUGUAGCUCUUUUGCCCUUCCUACUUAGAGUAGGUGGUGUAAAAAACCUACUGUCUUUAGUUGCUUCUAAGUCCUUCGACAUGUAUGCUUCUAGAAUUUUGGAAGCUUUAGAAAGCAGCUGGUACACCCAUUUCAUAACAAGGGAAUCAGCCUCCUCAGUAUUUAAAGCCUUCUGUUUGCAUAAUGUUCUGAGUGCUUUUAC